CGUCUGGUCGUCGAACGGCGCGAGGUUGCCGUCGCCGCCGGUCUGCGGGCACGUCUGCUGCCGCACCGCCGCGAAGGUGGCGUUGAUGUUGGGCUCGCCGUAGAUGCGCCCGCGGAAGAAGACGCACCGCGCCCGCCCCACGGUGUGCGCGCCGGAGAGCGCCGUCAUGUCGCGCGCCGAGAGCCCCUUGGCCGCGAACGCGGCGACGAGGGACGCCGCGCUGGAGCCCGGGCCUGGGAGGUUGGCGUUGGCCGCGCUCUGGCUCGCCGUGCGCGAGUCCGUCCGGCCGAGCUGCACGUUCCAUGUUGGGCCUCCGAGCUGCGUCGUUGCAUUGCAUGCAGAUCAGCGUCCGUCGUCAUUUGGAAGCGGCGAAGUGCUUGCUGGACAUUGGAUUCUCUCUUAGCAAUAGACGAACUGACCAAGUUUACGGCGUCACGAGACGCCAAGGCGACGAUGUCGGCGCACGAGACGGUGGCCUUGCAGGCUGCUUCGACCUGCGUCUUGAUGGCGUCGAUGACCUCGUACCCGCGGACGGAGUUGACGUUGGCUCCGGCGUUCUUCUCGCCGGUGAACGUCGGCGUGUCAUCCAGGAGGAUGGACGCGUCACAACCCUGUGUCGCACACACAUAUGUCAGUGGCUCAGUGCACUGCACACUGAUGUCUGAUGAGUAGCGGCAACCUAGGCUAACAUGAUGAACAUUAUUAGGAUAAUACUAAAUGGUGACCGACAUUGACGAAGCAGUCGUGGAAGAAGAGGCGGAUGAUGGACGCGCCCAUCCUGGGCUCCUUGGCGACUGCCUGCGCCGUCACCGACCGGACGAUGGCGGCCACGCCCGGGCACGACUUGGCGUAGAACUUGGUGGAGAGCUUCCCAUGACAGGUAAGAAGCAGGCAGAGCAGAGUAAGAAGAGCAACGCUUCUCGCCAACGACGACGUGCCCAUUUCUGGCUCAGCCACUACUGAAGCAGAGCAAGAAGUGGCACUGUCCAUUUCUGUGUAUUUAUAGCGCUGGACCGCCCCCAAUCUGUUCCUUGUGCUGGUACACAAUGUGUGCCGCACUUGACGGCGGUGAUUGGUGGACGCGAAUGGUGGCCUUGGUUGCGGUUGUGCGCGGCGCACCACCGUGCCAGUGCCAGGAGGCAUCCAGCACCGGCGAUGGAGCAGCGCAUCGGGCUGGGUCGGUCCUGGCUUUUGGGGAACAAAGCGGGAGGGUGGUGACCCUGACUCCCGCGGCACCUUGGUUGCUUUGCGCGCUCUUUCCUGCUGCCGUCUUUGCGUGCUGUGGGAAGGUUCGGAACAUGAUGGAAAAGGUACCUAAAACCCUGCAUUUUAGCUGCUUUUUUGCUUGCGACAGUACGCGAAUGUAAGUGGUAUAGUGGUAGUGACUAGUGAGUGCCUCCUGCCUCGGUUGAUUGCUCAAUCUGCGGUAUUCGGGCGUUCAGCUACAGAUAUGUACUGUACCUGAUGGCACAUGGGGAAGGAUCAUAGUCAUACUACGAGCGUAGGUAUUGUUGGUAUCCGUUCGGCAUAUUAUUCGUGAUUUCUCACAAUGCUUAUUUGCUUCUACACUAGUUCGUCAGAGGACAGGAGCUAGUAGUUUCCAGAGACAUAAUUGUACAAGAAAUUUGUCAACAAAUUUGGUGCCCACAGGCCACAGCUCAUCAAAGAUGUUUAUAUUUGUGUUCUUUUUCUUUUUCUUUUUAUAUAUUAUUAACACAAUAAUCAUACACAGUACUUAUAAUUUUCAUCCGUGCGUUAUAGACUGAUGAUUACAAAUUACUCUAAUCCUUUUACAUCGCCUUCAUUGUUUUCUCUUUGUAUUGCACCUCCAAGUAUAUAUGUUGAGUCUUACAUGUAGAGGUUGUGUAGAGAGCUCAUGUAGACACUACUGAAAACACGUCCUUUGCUGGGCACUCGGCAAAGACAUUCUUUGCCGAGGGCCAGCCAGCCCUCGACAAAGAAUGGCCCUCGACAAAGAGACCUUUGUCGAAGGUCUGGCCCUCGACAAAGACAGACCAUCGGCAAAGAUUGUUUUUGCUGAGGGCCGUGGCUCUUGGCAAAGGCGCCCUAGCCAAAGUUGGCCCGUUGGGUCACGGCGGCCAAGACAUCGUCAGGCUUUGCCGAGGGUUAGCCAUUAGGCCCUCGACAAAAAAAAAUUAAAAAAUAUUCAGCGUUCGGAUCUAAAUUUUUUUCUAUAACUAGUCUUUGCCGAGGGCCCUAUGUCUGGCCUUUGACAAAGACCCCCUUUGCAAAAGGCCCUAAGCCUGGCGCUCGGCAAAGAUUUUUUUGUUUUUUGAGCCUAUUUUUUUAUGGUUCUAAAAUACUUUAUUUUAAACCCAAAAUUAAAUUUUGGUCCAAUUUUGACUUUUUAAAUAUAUUUUAUUAGUUUAAUUCUUUUUCUUUUAUUUUUUCUGGAUAUUUCAAAUUUGAACUUUCAGGUGUAUGAAAUAAAGUAGUGUAGUGUUUAAAAAAAUAUUAUUCAUAGUAUUUGGUGUAUUUUGAGUCCUUAUCUAGGAACUCGCAUCGCGUAACAUGACGAGCGACUUGCGGAAUAAGUGUUUUAAAAUUCUAUAAAAUUCAUACGAAGUCCAAAAAUCCCAAAACUUGUUGAGGUGUCAUGUCAUCACAUGUGUAGGUUAUGGUAAAAAAUUGAGAAGGCUUGGAGCAAGUGUGUGUUGUGCUAACUGCUUCAUCAAAAUUUCAUUAUUGUAAUUUUUUUUGCUAUAGUUGUGUCUUUGCUGAGGACCCUAGGAAUAACCUUCGGCAAAGAUUUUUUUUGGAAAAAUUCUGAACAUGUUUUUUUUAAAAAAUAAUAUCUUUACCGAGGGCCUGAAAAAAGCUCCCGGCAAAGAUUUUUUUUAAAAAAACAUUUUUUUGCCAAGGGCCGGCCCUAGGCAAAGAAACCGCCAACAGCGUUGGCGCCGUGACGGCCGCUUUUCUUUGCCGAGGGCCAAGUUGGCCCUCGACAAAGGCUUUGUCGAGUGCCCGAUAAACCCUCGGUAAAGGCCCUCUUUGCCGAUUCAAAAUUUCCCGAGAGUUCUUUGCCAAUGGUCGCCCUCGGCAAAGCCUUUGUCGAGGGUUUUUGGCCCUUUGCUGAGGGCUUUAGGCUCUCGGUAAAGAGGACACGUCCAGUAGUGAGAGGUUGUGUUCGUGAUCAUUAGUGGCUCCCUACACGUCUUAUAUAGAACAGGAAAGGUGGGGUUACAUGCGGAUCAACCAUGAUAAUUAGUGAUCUAGUUACCUACAUCUAUUCGAGUUACUCGGAAUACAUAUACCUAUCCAUCUAAAGAAGUCGUGUGCACUAAAUAGAUAAGAUAGCUCUAGAGUCUAGACCAAGGCUAUCAUGGACUAAUCGUCCCAGUUCAUUUCCACCUUAGGGAUGGUUAUGGCCUUCAUAGCGAUACUCGAGAUUCAUGUAUUUGUCACUAUGCCAUUAUAAAAGCGUAGGGAACCCCUAAAUUUUCAUCUAAUUUAGUCUUAUUUGGAAAAGGCUAAAUUAACACACCCAAAAUUUUUUGUCUAAGCUACUCCCUCCAUCCCCUUAUUAUUUGUUGCUAUGAGAAAUAUGUUGCUUAAACUUUUUUUAUAUAAGUUUGACUAAGUUUAUAGAAUAGUAGCAGCAUUCGUAUAUCUAUAUAAAUUUAUUAUAAAAAUAUAUUCAAUUAUCUAUCUAAUGAUAUCAAUUAUGUAAAAUAAAUAUAUUAUUUUUUUGUAUAUAUUUAGUCAAAGUUGACUACAUUUAACUUCUAGAGAAGUAAUGAUGGGAGCUAAGAAAAGGACAGAGGGAGUACAUUCUCUAGAGAUCAACAGGAGACUGAAAAUAUGUGAAUAUUGUGUCAUCAUGACAUAUAUUAGAAAGAGAACAGAUGUUAAUAAAUGUAGUUACCUUUGGGUUCUAAAUACACGCUCGGAAUUGUAACACUUGUGUGUCUUAAACUAAGGUCAAGUGCAAUAGCAGAGUCCGGCAAAAGAUCCCAACCUGACCGGACAAUCUGUGACAAAAGCUGUGGCGCAGAUCAAUGCCGCGCCGCACGGCCGCACCGAAGCCGCACGCUCGGGCUUUCCGGCGCCACCCGCGCACGUCGCGCUGCCUCUGCCUGACUCCGUGGACGGGACGGGACGUCCAACAUGGGACGCAGAGAGAGACAUGUCGUCCCGGACCCGCGAGCGCGCGGGCGAGCACCCGCCAGCGCCAGCGCCAGCACUCAGCACUCAGCGCGGCGGUGGCCACUCUGCUCGCAUGUGGCGUGCCGAGACUGCCCUGCCGCAUGGAACAGUUGUUUCUGCUCCACAACUCGGUAUCGCACCAGUCUAGCGCAGCGCACGAACGGCGGCGAAAGGGGCCACAACAGACGCUGGCCGGCCGACCCACUGCGGUAUGCCGUACUAGUGGACAGUGGUGGUGAUAGUCGAGGUCCAUCUUGGGUGAUUGCAUUGUAGAAAGAGUGUUGUACUGCUCUGUGGUACGUUACUGCAUGGGAGUCGGCCGCACUACCAGGCAGCACUGCAUGUGGCGGCCGGGGGCGGGGCUGCUAAUUUGGACUUUGACCGAUGCCGAUCGCAUGCAGAAAAUGCGUAAACAGCUGCGACCACUACGCUGUCCUUCCUUUGGGUGAUCGUCGUAGAAGCUGUGUGGGUUGACCUCCCCUCGGCGUGAGCAUGAAAACGACAUUAUCGAAUUGGCAUGUACCCAGGGCAAUCUGCAUGCAUGGGGCGCCGCAUUUGUAGUACACGAGCCAAUGGAGUCAUGAACCAUGGUUGUCCUCUUUUUUUUUCUUUUUUUUUUGAACAUAAUGGACCAUGGUUCUCCUCGAUGCGAGUUAAAGCUUUGAUAAUAAAAAAUAAUUAAUUAUAUAAUUUAUAUUAUUUUACAAGACAAAUAUUUUAAACUUUAUAGUUAUAAAUAGAUUAUAGUAUUUAAAAACUUUUCUUUUUCUGAACUAAAAUCCAUUAGCCAUGUGCAAAGUGCAGCAACCUACGGUCAGCAUGCCUGUCACUCGCAAAAUAUCGAAUGUACCGUACGGUGUGACCCGCCUGCAAUGUUUGAUGCAGUGGUUUCGUCCGAAAGAAAAGCAACCAUUCAAUAAUAUUUUUCUCUUACAAUAUAUUAGCCAACAAUAUUUUCGGUUUAUGAGCCAAACGAACAAUAAUUCUUCGUUCCUUUUUUCUCCCUUUUCUCUUUUCAAAGACAAAACAUAUGUUUUCAUAAUUUGUUUGUGGAACAGAAUCCUAAUAAGGCCUUGUUUAGUUUCCUUCUGAAAAUUUUUUGGAACACUGUAGCAUUUUGUUUAUAUAUGAUAAUUAUUGUCUAACUAUGGACACUCAAAAGAUUCAUCUUGCAAAUUACAGACAAACUGUGCAAUUGGUUAUUAUUUUUAUAUAUAUUUAAUGCUAUAUGCAUAUGUCGCAAGAUUCGAUGUGAUGGAAAAUCUUAAAAAGUUUUUGGAUGUUGGACAGAACUAAACAAGGCUUAAGUGUUGUCCAUCUGAACGGUUCUGGAAGAUUUUAUUUUCACACGUCCUACAUUUCAGUUGCCAGAGAUUGUGGGCGACGUUCAGGCGAUUCCUCUCCUUCAUUCAUGUGUCUCCCUUCUCUUCGACGGCAGUUGAUGCAAGGAUAGGGAUGGCUCUCCUACCCGCGGUUUUUCUCUAGUGUAACCUAAAUAAAAAAAUAAGAGAAAAAAUUGUUUAUUUAAUUCAUUUAAUUACAUUAGAGAAAAACCGCGAGUAUCUAUUUGGAGCACCGUCCUCAUCCUUAAGUUGAUGGAUGAGCGGUGAUGACAAAGGUUAAAGCAACUCCAAUAGCUUGAGUAAAAUUAAUAGUCAAAUUCUAUUAUUUAGUCAUUUUAUAAAAUAGAAGCUUCUUAAAAAAAGAAGAUAUCCAAAACAAUCUUAUAAAACUAUUUUAUAAAGUCACGUAAUACGUGUCUAUGGCUGGCUAUAUAUAACCAGCAAAAAAAUAGCUAAAUUUCUAUUUUAUAAAAUAAGAUAGCACAUUUGCUAGAGCUUUUUUUUUGCUAUAUAAAUUUUAAAAUAGCCUUCACAGCAAGAACAACAAAGGUACUGAAGUUGCUCUUAAAGCUUCGAUUUCCCAGAAUUUCUGCCAGCUUAGGCCUUGUUUAGUUCCCAAAAUAUUUUGUAAAUUUUUUGAGAUUCCCCAUCACAUCGAAUCUUGCGGCACAUGCAUGGAACACUAAAUUUUGAUAAAAAAAAAUAACUAAUUACACAGUUUAUCUGUAAUUUGUGAGACGAAUUUUUUGAGUCUACUUAAUCCAUGAUUGGACAAUAUUUAUUAAAUACAAAUAAAAAUGCUACUAUUUCUAUUUUGCAAAAUUUUUUGAAACUAAACAAGACCUAGAAAGAGAGGGGCCUGGGUGGCAAGGCGGACAGGGUGGUGGCAGGUUCGCUGGCGAUGAGCGAAGCGGCGGGAAGAGCUGCCGAGGCAGCGGGGCGGGAUAGACAUCCGCGAGUGCUGCCCGGCGGAGGCAAGCGCUCACCAAAGGCUUUAUUUAAUUUCCAUCUAAAAACUUUUUACUCUAUCCUAUUAAAUAUUUGAAUACAUAUAUAAAAUACUAAAUGUAAAUAAAAAAUUAAUUACACAGUUUAUAUAUAUAUUACGAGACGAAUCUUUUAAAUUUAGUUAGUCUAUAAUUAGAUACUAAUUACAAUAGUUACACAUGUACUAUACUAGCCCAAAAACUUUUCAAGCUGCGAACUAAACAUGCCCAAAGUUGUAGCCAGAGCAUGUCCGGCCUGUGACCAGAUAUUAUCCAAAAAACAACCAUCUUUUUUUUUUGUGAUUGUGAUCGACCAAAGGAAUAUACUCCUUAUUUGGCACAUGCAUGAUGAAGCUAUCCUGUGAUGCGAUAAUAAAUUUGGCAAGGACGACAGAACUCUGUGACUGUGAUAAUAUAUUUGCCAGCCUUUUGUAUUAAUUAUAUGUAACCUUGUGUGACCUGGCAUACAGUAUUGUACAUGUAUAAUGUCUCACCCGGCCGGAGAACUUGAGCGGACGGACAAGUGUGCACUAGUACACAUUUGGCAUUAUCCUUUCAUGUACUGUAAUAAACCUGCAGACCAUGACGACCAUGCAUGGUUUUUAGUUCGUCUUCCUGCAGUUGAGCCUGACUUCCGUGGGCGUCCCUGACGACGGCAUGAGGUUGCCCAUCUUGAUCAUGGCGGAGACGAAGUCCGCGGAGAACUGGUUGGCGUUGGUGCUGUACUGCCUGACCAGCGCGUCCUGCGACCCGCCAUUGAAGAGCUCCUGGUCCGAGUGCAGCAGGCCCUUCUGCGCCACCAGGUUCUGGUAGUAGGCGUUGUCGAAGCCGUCGGGCGUCUGCACGUCGAACGGCGCGAGCGUGGCGUCGCCGCCGGAGCGCGGGCACGUCUUCUGCCGCAGCGCGGCGAAGCUGGCGUUGAUGUUGCUCUCGGUGUAGAUCCGGCUGCGGAAGAACUGGCACUGCGACCUGCCGAUGGUGUGCGCCCCCGACAGCGCCGUCAUGUCGCGCGCCGACAGGCCCUGGUUGCCGAACAUCCUGAUGAGCGUGGCCAGGCUUGACCCCGGGCCUGGCAGGUUCGAGUUCGCCAGGCUCUGGCUCGCCGUCCGCGAGUCCUUCCGGCCCAGCGGCACGCUCCAUGUCGGCCCUCCCAGCUGCAUUGUUGUAUAUAUAGACAUAGACUACUGUAUUAGCCGUGUGACGAGAGGGUCGUCGGUCGUCACCGGGAGGAAGAAGAAGCAGAGGACUGCUGACCAGGUUGACCCCGUCACGGGCGGCGAGGGCGAGGAUGUCGGCGCAGGAGACGGUGGCCUUGCAGGAGGCCUCCACCUUCGUCUUGAUGGCGUCGAUGACCUCGAACCCGCGGACGGAGUUGGCGUUGGGGCCGGCGCCCUUCUCGCCGGUGAAGGUGGACGUGUCGUCGAGGAGGAUGGAGCCGUCGCAGCCCUGGCGGCAUUCGACAAAAAAAAAAAAAACCAGAGCAGCAAAACGUCAGCACGCGCACGUACGUUCAGUGCAAACAGCUAGCAGCUGUAGUGUAGGUAUCUCUCUUACAUUGACGAAGCAGUCGUGGAAGAACAUGCGGAGAAUGGAGGCGCCCAUACGCUUCUCCGCCGCGACGGCGGACGCCAUCUGCUGCCGCACGAUGGUGGCCACGUUCGGGCACGUCUUGGAGUAGAAGUUGGGGGAGAGCUUCUGCGCGUCCGCGGCGCCGGCGGUGAGUAGGGCAACGAGGACGGCGGCGGCGAGGGAGAGGAAGGCCAUGGACCUGCAGGUGAAUGUGGCCAUGUCGUCUAGCUAGAAAAAGAGUUGGAUGGUGGAUCGAUGAGACGAGAUGCUCAGGGUGGCCUGGCCUCCAAUUUAUAGUGCUCUCGACCUUCACUUCAGCUAUGCGCGUGCGUGCAUGGCGGUCGUUGACGCCUGCACUUGCAUGCGUCAAGUACAAAAUUCUGGGCCAAACUCUGCAGAGAUGCCGAUCAUUAGCCGGAUUUGGUUGACCGGUAGUCUGGUCCGGCACGCACAGGCCAGGCUGGCGGUGGCGGCCACGUCGCUAACGACGCAUGGGUCAGCUGCAUGCUCCUGUCCUUCGUGAAUUAUUGCAUGUGUUUUCUUUUGUUCAUUACUCGCCACAAUAUAAUACUCAGAAGAGGCCGUUCCGUUCACCACCCGGAAAAUUCUUUAUGCAUGGAUAUGAUCCCUUCCACUCAUUAAGAUAUUGAUGAGAUACGUGCUCCUCUGAGACUGGCGUAUACGAGAGGAAGUUUCGCCGGCGACCGACCACGUCACACACAGGUACACUGCACAAGAGAUCCACUCUACACAUCAAUUUUUGGAUCGAGAUGGAUACCAUUGUCUUUGGGGGCCUAUCUGGCUAUCUAUAUGAUUUUGAGAGAUGGUAGAAUUAGUUAAGAAAUUCCUCUUUGAAAAUAAAAUAUACUAGUAUUAUUUACUAUCAUUUCUGUAACAUUGCAAAAUAAUAAUUUAAUUUCUCGAAGCUAGAACCCGUAUGAUGUAGCCAUCUUUAUUUUUACGUUCCCGGCCCUUUUUUGCAUGCAUCAUAUCAGACCAUGCAUAGCGCCAAUAACGGCGUGACAACUGAAACUUACAUGUUGAAGACAAAUAAAGAAUAAGUUGAGCAUAAGAUGACCAUAUAACUAUUAUUUAUUAUUAUUAUAUAUAUAUAUAUAUACACACACCAAACUACUACAGUAUUUGGCAUUGGGCAGCAGCAAUAAAAACCAAUCACUUCCGUUCAGCAGUGGUAUAAAACUAACAGGAGUUUCAUUGCAAAAUAAUAAUUUAAUUUCUAGACACUAGUACAGGGAAGGGCUUUAGCCCCGGGCCGUAAGCGCCUUUAGUCCCGGCUACGGAACCGGGGCUAAGGUUUCGGGACUAAAUGUCCCACCUUUAGUCCCGGUUGGUAACAGCAACCGGGACUAAAAGGUGCGCCAGGGUGUGCCACCUGGCCUCCACUUUUAGUCUCGGUUGUUGCUACUGGACUAAAGACUUUUUUCUUUUUUCUUUUUUCUUUUUCUUUUCAUUUGGUUUUCCAUUUAGGGUUUACAAUUAUGUUAUUGUUAUUUUCGAAUGCGUAUUGUUUGCUGGUAGUUUAUGGAACGUGCACCUAUAAUUUAUAUAAUUUAAAGGAUUACAUAUAAAUAUACUAUAAAACACUAUAUAUAUAAAUAAUAUGUAUCUAUAGGUCCAUAAUAAAAUAUUUACACAUAUGCUUCACGGACAAAGUAUUUACAACACAAUUUAUCUCCACCACUCAAGCAUCGUACAAAUGAUCAUCGUUAUUUGGUUUCAUCUGCUCCUGAGGGUUGAAGUAGCACUCGCCGCCAGAAUCCAGGACUUGGUCGUUAAGAAAUCCUGCGAUUGUCUCCUGAAUUCCUUUUAGGCGCACCGCAUCCAACACCUGCUCCUUCAGCCACAUCUCCUUUAAUAGACAUUAAAGAAAAAAGUUAGGGGUAUGAAAAGGAUUUAUUAAAUAGCAACAAAUAAAUGAAAUAUACUUAUUAUAUAUACAUGUUACAUACUUUUAGGUGCUCAAGAUUAGUUCUUUUGGCAUACACCGUCAUAAACUCGCACACAUAGUAGCCACACAAAUUGUUGCCCGGUGUCUGCCGUAGAACCCACUGAAGUAAGAUGGGCUUUGAAAGCGAUGCAUUCAACUCUGGACGGUGUUUCUGCACGAACCCAGCCCAAACUCUAGCAAUAAAACGAUCAUUAUUAAUUAUCCAUUACAAGUUAAAAGAGCAGAAUUUAAUAUAUAGAGAUCGGAGUUACCCUUGGAUAAUAUCUAUUAUUUCUUGGUAAUCAUCCUGUGGUUUUCUCAAUGAGUCAUAGAUUACCAAUUGACAUUGCCAGAGAUCAAUGACAAUUAGUAUCCAAUGAAAGCUGCAUUUGUGUGCAUAUGUAGGCAAAAUUAGUAUAUAUCUUCAUAUUGAUCUGAUUAAUUAGUUAAAUAGAAUGUACACACGAUAACGACACUUACUUAAAGUUGUAGGGAAAGAGUAUAUAUCUUUUAUCAUUUUGGUUGAUCAAGAACCUCCGUAGAUUUCUCUCCGUUUGAGUUCUCCAUAAAACAUACGGGGUCUUGUGGUCUUUAAAUACAACAUUUGGAUCCACAAAUCCAAUCUCCUUGUCAUUUCUAACUCUGAGGUCCCUCAUCAUGUUUCUGCAUAUGUAUAGCGGGUUUCUGUAAUUAGUUAUAUAUAUACAUGAUAAGUUACAGAGACAUUAUUGAAAGGAAGAAUCACUUACAGACAGAAGCAACUCAUUAGAGAUUUGUCAAGAGCGUCCAUGUGGCAUAGUUGGUGUAGCUCAUUAAAUUGAACAUAAAUAAUAUCAUCACCACGGAAGUAAUGAUAGUUUCUAAUUCGGACACAAAUAUAGUCAUCUGCUUUUCUGGCACACGCUUCUAUGUACCAUUUGUUUAGCAUGUACAUUUGCGUUCCAAGCUUGCUGAGGGCCGCAGGGUUGUAUAAACUCUUGCCAUAUGUAUAUUCCUUCUGCCAAUGAUCAAUUUGUGGAGCACUUUCAAUUGGUGCCCCCGCUAUCAUUUGGGCUAAGCUAGACCAGUUUCCGCAAAAAAAUUUUCAAGCUCUUUAAUUUUUAAAUCUGUCGGUAUCUGCUGGUCUAGCACGUCAAUGUUUGAACCAUAUUCAUUUUCAAUGACUAGCGGGGGCACUGAUUGCUUUGAUUGUUCCCCGAGCUGUGCUACACCCUUGUGUGCUCUUUUCUCUUUCUUCUUCUCUUCUUCUAUGGAUUUUCUUAAAGUGCGAUCAUAGUCUGAUAAAGAUGAUGAUUCUUUCUGAGCUUCAUGCCUCUUUUUUUGUUCAGCCUCAACCCUUUGUCGUAGAUCUUCUAGCCGUAGUAAGAGGUACGGCUUCUCAGGGUUUCGCUUGGCUUCUCUUUCAGUCUUAAGUUUCUUGAAGAAACUAUCCACAUCUGAUUUAACUGAAGCAUUUAUUUCUGCAUCAGUCAUCUGAUCAUAGGACAGCUUCUUAGGAAUGAUAGCUUGUUUCUUUUCGGAGGCUUUCUUUUUUGGCGGCGGGGCGGCCGACACAUUUGAUUUUGUGGCCGGCCUCUUCUUUCGUGCUGGAGCCACGUGUGGAGGCGAUGGGGCGGCCGGUGGCGAUGUUGGAGCCCGAGGAGGCGGCGUUGGAGCCCUAGGUGGCGUUGGAGCUCUAGGUGGCGGUGUUGGAGCCUGAGGUGGCGGUGUUGGAGCCCGAGGUGGCGGUGUUGGAGCUCUAGGUGGUGGCGUUGGAGACCGAGGCGAUGCAGCCGUGUCUUGCACUCCCUCGUCAUCACCCGCAGCACUAUGACAUGUCGGUGACCACCUGUGAAAAUAAAAGGUAUAUGAGUAAACCGCUAACUAAGAGAAUGCAAAAUAAAUUUAGUGAACAAAUGUAUAAUCAAUUUUCAUCCGCACCUAGGAUUAGAUUCAUGACGAGGAGGUGGUGGUAGACUACUAGGUGAUGCCCCAGGAAUAAUGAUGUAGCGCUUGCGCCAACAAAUAAAAGUCUUCUCUGCUUCUCCUAGAGUCUUCUCUCCAUCACCUCCUUCUAUCUCAAGCUGCACAUUACUGAAGCCUUUGACAACUCUAUCCACCGAGACACUAGCAUAUCCAGGUGGAAUUAUCGCCCCAUGGAUUCUUGGUGUCCUUGUAGGGUCGACAGGAGUUACAACAGCGACAGCAACCAUGACUGUGGCAGUCCCCUGUGGAAUGUGCAGCUCACAUGUUGUCAGAGGCUCAGUGAUGUCAUCCACCGGAAAGUGCAGCCCCACGUCGUCUUGAAUAGUUGGCAUAUCUGUGGAAGCGCAACUACUUUUCAACUGACCGGGGGGCUAAUGUUGACUCUAGGCUCUGAUGCAGUUUGCCCUUGUAUAGAACUUACUGCAAUCUGCACUUGUCUUUUGAUCUCCUCGUUCAUUCUCUCUUCAAGCGCUUUCUCUCGCGCUAUCGCUUCACGAGCUGCUUCGCGUGACUCAAUCACCAUUGCCUCCAACCUAUGCAACCGCUCUGCUUCCUCUUCCUUCUUUCGUUGGCGGCUUCUAUAAGUCGGUCUAUCUUUAGGGAAGCCAUGCUCCCAUGAUAUCUCCCCAUAGCCUCUGGUUCGCCCACCAUGUUCAGCAGUCUCCAGGGCGUAUGUCAGCUCAUCCUUUUCUCUAUUUGGCUGCCAGGUGCCGCUUUCAACUAAUCCUCUAGCAUAGGCCAUUCUCUGUCCUACUCUCUCGAGCUUUUCGCCGUACACUAUCUUUCCGGUCUCUAGGUCUAUGGUUCCCCCAUGACCAAAGAACCAAUACUUGGCGCGCUCGGGCCAGUGCAUUGAUUCUGGUUCGAUCCCUCUCCCAAGAAUCUCCUGUUCCAGCUUUUGCCACUUAGGAAUAGCAGUCCUGUAGCCACCUGAACCCAAGUGAUGGUGGUAUUGCUUUUGUUUAGCAUUUUCUUGAUUCUUGAUCAUCCGUGCCUGACCCUCUUCUGAGUUCUUAAACUCUACGAACUCAUCCCAAAAAGGCCUCAACUUGACGUAGGCCUUGUUGGUGAAAUCUGGUGUCCGGCCUUGUGCAACAAAAGUCUUGUAUAAUGUCUUCUUCCAAGCCUGAAAUUGUUUGGCCAUCUUCUGCAUAGCCCAGAUUUUAACCUUCUCCUUCAAAGCUUCAUCCUGUGUAUCGAGCGUGAAAUGUUGAAGGAUAUCUUGCCAAAUCAAUUCCUUGUCACGAUCUGAGACAAAACUAAUAUUAGGGUUAUCUUUCCGUUGCCUCCAUUCACGAGCACUGACCGGGAGCCUGUCCCUUACAAGGUAGCCACAGUGCGCAACAAAUUUUUUAGAAUUAGCUCCAAGUACUUGUCCUGUACCCUCAUCGAAUUCCGACAGAAUGUACCGACCCUCUAACGGCUUCUUCGGGCCGCGCACUUUUCUACUCUUCUCAGAAGUUGUCGCCGAUUUAGAGGGCUACACAAACAAGUAUAAAUAUAUUAGUAUAAAUGUCAUUUAUUUUAAUUUCAUAUAUAUACAUAUAUACUAGAUUGUAGAUAGACCUGAUCAGGAUUGUCUCCCACAAGUUCUUCAUAAUCAACAAAGUAUUGACUCCCAUCAUCUUCGCCUUGGGGAUCUGGAUUGGCACCGCUGUUGAUUAGGUUCAUCAUUGCAUCAUCCAUGUUGUCAUUCGGAUUGGCCAUUUCUGCAAAUUUAAUCAAGUCUUAAAACUUAGACAAUAUUCGAUACAACAACUAAGAUAAUUUAUAUCAUAUAAAUUAUAUAAUACAAAAGAUAAAUUAUAAAAUAGAAAUUAUACAUCUCAUCUCAAUAUCUAUCCCCACAAACUAAUUACAACACAUGAUAAUUUAUAUCAUAUAAAUUAUAUAAUACAAAAGAUAAAUUAUAAAAUAGAAAUUAUACAUCUCAUCUCAAUAUCUAUCCCCACAAACUAAUUACAACACAUGAUAAUUUAUAUCAUAUAAAUUAUAUAAUACAAAAGAUAAAUUAUAAAAUAGAAAUUAUACAUCUCAUCUCAAUAUCUAUCCCCACAAACUAAUUACAACAUAGGAUAAAUUAUAUCAUAUAAAUUAUAUAAUACAAAAGAUAAAUUAUAAAAUAGAAAUUAUACAUCUCAUCUCAAUAUCUAUCCCUACUAACUAAUUACAACAGAGGAUAAAUUAUAUCAUAUAAAUUAUAUAAUACAAAAGAUAAAUUAUAAAAUAGAAAUUAUACAUCUCAUCUCAAUAUCUAUCCCCACAAACUAAUUACAACACAUGAUAAUUUAUAUCAUAUAAAUUAUAUAAUACAAAAGAUAAAUUAUAAAAUAGAAAUUAUACAUCUCAUCUCAAUAUCUAUCCCCACAAACUAAUUACAACAUAGGAUAAAUUAUAUCAUAUAAAUUAUAUAAUACAAAAGAUAAAUUAUAAAAUAGAAAUUAUACAUCUCAUCUCAAUAUCUAUCCCUACUAACUAAUUACAACAUAGGAUAAAUUAUAUCAUAUAAAUUAUAUAAUACAAAAGAUAAAUUAUAAAAUAGAAAUUAUACAUCUCAUCUCAAAACAAAUUCUCAUAACAAUUUCUCAUCCAAAUCUAAACAUAUGUUUCUCAUAACAAUUUCUCAUCCAAAUCUAAACACAUCUCAUCUCAUAACAAUUUGCUCAACCUAUAUAGUUUCUAAAAAAACAUCACAAUGCAAAAGUGUCGGCCGAGAGAUCAUCUUCGUACGGUGGCGGCCGAGGGAGAAGAAGCUCGCGCGCGCGGUGUACGGAGAAGAAACGCGCGCGGCGUACGGUCGCCGGAGAAGAAGCUCUCGGCGGCGCGGCGGAGAAGAAGUGCUCUCGGCGGUGUACGGAGAAGAAGGGCGCUCGGCGCCGGAGAAGAAGGCGCUCGGCUCCUCGGCUCGGUGGCGGCGGCGGUGGGGGCGAUCCUCGGCUGCGGUGGCGGCGGUGGCGCUCCUGGACGAGUGUGAGGCGACGGCGGGGAGGAGCGGCGCGCGGCGGAGGAAGUUAGGGCAACAUCGAUCUGAGGAAGAAGACGGCGCGCUUAAAUAUACGCGGGGACCUUUAGUCCCGGUGCUUAGCACCAACCGGGACUAAAGACCUUUUAGUCCCGGUUGGUGCUACGCACCGGGACUAAAGGUUCACCCUUUAGUCCCGGUUCCUGGCUAGAACCGGGACUAAAGGUACCCUUUAGUCCCGGUUCUAGCCAGGAACCGGGACUAAAUGUAUUUUUCAGUUUCUUAUUUAUUUAUUUAUGCAUACAAUAAUUAGAUUAAUGUUGUUAAUUGCAUAGUAAAUAGAAUAAUAGGUAUUAAUUUGUUAAAAAAUAAUAGUUUCAUUUCAUUUUGUCGAAUUGGUUACAUAAUAAAUUUGGAAACAUAAAAUCUUUUCAUCACUUAUAUUAACAAACUUAAAUAUGAAAAAUAAUUAGUAUUUUGUUAAUGUAAAAAUGUAUUAUUUAAUUUUAAUAUCUUAAAGCAGAUGUUUUUGAUACAAAAAUUUGUUUGUGCAAUAUUUAAACGUAAAUUUUGUUUAUUUAUCAUCAUUUAUCUCCAAAAUCAUAAUAUACGUGAUAUUCACCAUUACAUCGAAUUAUUUUUUAAAAUUUUUUCUCUAUUUCUUAUUUAUUUAUACUUACAACAAUAUUGACCAUUACAUCAAAUUAUCUCUAACAACUUUGUAUUCAAAUUUUUUUCAUUUCAAGUCAUCAAAUGGGUCAUUUGACCAAGUUUGACCAAAGUCAAAGCAUUGGUUUUUAGAAACACACACUUUGACCGAACCCUAUAUGGUCCCAAAUGGAAAAGUAAUGAAUACAAAGUUUGUUGCACACAUCAAGUUCUACAUUUUGUCUAAUGGUCAACUUUUCUUUUGGAAAAGUUUGAACCACUGAAUUUUGAAUUUUGAUAGAAUUCAUAGCCACGCAUGGGUUUUCGGAACCCUAGAUGGUCUCGAACGGAAAAGUCAUGAAUACCAAUAUUGUUCCACUCAUCAAAAUCUACAUUUAAUAUAUAGACCAUUUUUGCAUUUGACAAAGUGUUGCGAAGGUGUAGUUCAAAAUCCACAAUUGACACAUGUAGUUUCCUAUAGUUUGCGUGAGAUUCAAGAAUUGGUGGGUAUUGUGAACUUAAACUUUCUCAAAUAGAAAAGUUGUCUAUAUAAAAAGUUUAGAUCUUGAUGAUAUCUAACAAAUUGGUAUUCAAAAUUUUUUCAUUUUAAGUAAUUUAGUUUGUCAUUUGACCAAGUUUGACUAUUUUUGCAUUUGACAAAUAAUUGACACAUUUAUUAUAAUAGCAAACUUAAAUGUCAUUUCAUUAUUUGAAAUAAUAUAAAAUAAGAAAAACUAAUAUAAACAUCUUAAGUUACAAUUGUCACAUACACAUACUAUAUUGCAAUCUAUUUAUUAGGCGGGCACAAUAGUGAUCUUCUUUUUGACGUAUGUUCCUUGGUCAUGAUCUUGACGUAACCAUGGAGUGUCCUCAGCAUUUAUCAGUAUGCUCGGAUCUUUGGUCACAUUGAAAGGCGUGAUUCGGUCAUCCCUUUCAUAAUCUUCUGAAAUAUCUGACUUGUCCUCAAUUCCCACAAUGUUUCUUUUCCCUGAGAGAACUAUAUGGCGUUUUGGCUCGUUUGUUGAUUUGUUGUCAUUUUUCCCUCUCUUCUGUUUUGUAGACAUGUCUUUCACAUAGAACACCUGAUUCACAUCAGCAGCAAGGACGAAUGGUUCAUCUUUGUAACCAACAUUGUUGAGGUCCACUGUUGUCAUUCCAUAGUCUUUGUCAACUGUCACCCCGCCUCCGGUAACCUUCACCCAUUGGCACCGGAACAAAGGGAUUUUAAAAUUAGGUGCGUAGUCUAGUUCACAAAUCUCCUCUAUACGACCAUAAUAUGUUUGUCUGUUUCCAUUCGUGUCUAUGGCGUCUACGCGAACUCCACUAUUUUAGUUCGUGCUUCUUUUAUCUUGGCCUAGGGUGUAAAAUGUAUUUCCAUUUAUCUCGUACCCUUUGUACGUGAGGAUGUGCCAUGAUGGUUGCCUAGCCAACAAAUACAGUUGCUCAUCAAUCGGGUCAUUACCCUGACAUUCUUUUCGUAACCAAUCACUGAAAGUGUCUAUGUGCUGACGCAUAAGCCAACCUUCAUUCUUCUCUGGGAAUUGCGAUCAUAGGAAGUCCUUGUGUUUCGUGACAUACGGCUCCACCACGAAUGAGUUUUGAAGAACUGUGUAGUGUGCUUUAUUAAAAGAAUCGUCCCCCGUACCGAUGUAUGUUUUCUUUCCUAGUGUUCCCUUUCCACUCAGUCUCCCCUCGUGGCGCGAUUCAGGAACACCAAUUGGGUCAAGUUCAGGAAUGAAUUCAACACAGAACUCAAUGACCUCCUCUGUCCCAUAGCCCUCGGCGAUGCUUCCUUCUGGCCGAGCACGUUGGUGAACAUAUUUCUUCAGAACUCCCAUAAACCUCUCAAAGGGAAACAUAUUAUGUAGGAACACAGGACCCAGAAUAUUGAUCUCCUUGACCAGAUGAACUAGGAGGUGUGUCAUGAUAUCAAAGAAGGAUGGUGGGAACACUAACUCAAAGCUGACAAGACAUUGAACCACAUCAUUCUGUAGAGCAGCUAGUUCUAGUGGAUUGAUUGCCUUCUGAGAAAUUGCAUUGAGGAAUGCACAUAGCUUUACGGUGGCCAGACGUACAUGUGGAGGUAGAAUUCCUCUUAAUGCAACUGGAAGCAAUUGCGUCAUAAGCACAUGGCAGUCAUGCGACUUUAAGUUCAGAAAUUUCUUCUCAGGCACAUUAAUUAUACCUUUUAUAUUAGAGGAGAAUCCAGAUGGGACCUUGAUGCUGCUUAAGCAUUCAAACAUGAUUUCUUUCUCUUCAUUGCUAAGAGUGUAGCUAGCAGGUCUUAAAUAUUGGCGUCCAUCAUCUGUCUUCUCUGGAUGCAGGUUGUCUCGUUCUUCCAUGCGUUGCAAGUCUUGUCGUGCUUCAAGUGAAUCCUUAGGCUUACCAUAUACACCCAUGAAUCCUAGAAGGUUCACACAAAGAUUCUUUGUUAGGUGCACGACGUCGAUCGCAUUCCGGACCUCUAGGACUUGCCAAUAGGGUAGCUCCCAAAAUAUUGACUUCUUCCACAUGGGUGCAUGACCCGCUGCAUCUUUUGGAACUGGUUGGCUGCCUUGUCCCUUACCAAAAACUACUUUCACAUCCUUAACUAUCUCAAAUACAUCUUCUCCAGUUCUAUUGCGAGGCUUGCAUCGGUGGUCUGCCUUACCUUUAAAAUGCUUUCCUUUCUUUCUAACUGGGUGAUUCAUAGAAAGAAAUCGACGAUACCCAAGGUACACGACCUUUCUGCUUUUUUUCAAAUAUAUACUAUCAAGGUCAUCAAAACAAUGUGUGCAUGCAUUAUAUCCCUUGUUUGUCUGCCCUGAAAGAUUACUUAGAGCAGGCCAAUCAUUGAUUGUCACAAACAACAGUGCUCGUAGGUUGAAGUGUUCCUGUUUGUACUCAUCCCACACACGAACACCUGUUUCACUCCAUAAAAGAAGGAGUUCUUCAAUUAAUGGCCUUAGAUAGACAUCAAUGUCAUUGCCCGGUUGCUUCGGGCCUUGGAUGAGCACCGGCAUCAUAAUGAACUUUCGCUUCAUGCAUAACCAUGGAGGAAGGUUGUAGAUACAUAGUGUAACAGGCAAAGUGCUAUGACUACUGCUUUGCUCACCAAAAGGAUUCAUACCGUCCGUACUUAAAGCGAACCUUAAGUUUCUUGCGUCUUUUACAAACUCUGGAAAUUCCCUGUCUAUUGCUCUCCACUGGGACCCAUCAGCAGGGUGUCUCAACAUGUUGUCUACUUUACGGUCUUCUUUGUGCCACCGCAAUAAUUUUGCAUGGUCCUUAUUUCUAAAAAGACGUUUCAGACGUGGUAUUAUAGGAGCAUACCACAUAACCUUUGCAGGGAUUUUUUUCUGGGAUGUUCUUCCCCCUCAACAUCGCCAGGGUCAUCUCGCCUGAUCUUAUACCGUGAUGCUUUACAUACGGGGCAUUCAUCUAAAUCCACGGUAUAGGAUGCAGUCGUUAGGACAUGCAUGUAUCUUCUUGAUUUCUAAUCCCAAAGGACAGACGAUCUGUUUUGCUUCGUACGUAGUAGUGGACAGUUCAUUAGGCUUUGGCAGCAUUUUUUUUUUGGAUCUUCAGUAAUUGCCCAAAUGCCUUAUCGGAUACACCAUUCUGUGCCUUCCAUUUUAACAGUUCUAGUGUUGUACCCAGUUUUUUUUGCCCAUCCUGGGCAGAUGGGUAUAAUAAUUUCUUGUGAUCUUCUAACAUGUGGUCAAACUUUGUCUUCUCUUUUUCACUUUCGCAAUCUUUUUGUGCCUCACGAAUGACAUCACCAAGAGCAUCAUCUUCAACAGGUGCGCCUUCUGCAUCUGCCUCAUCUUCAGCUUCUCCCAUUGCUGUAUCACCGAAGUCACCGUAUUGAGCAAUAAUGUCGUCAGGCUCCAACUGUUCUUCUUCACCUUCUUCCAUCAUUAUCCCAUUUUCUCCAUGCUUGGUCCAACAAAUAUAGUUUGGCAUAAAACCCGACUUCAACAAAUGUGAGUGAAUAUUUCUAGAGCUAGAAUAUUCCUUCAAAUUCUGACACAAGGCACAUGGGCAACAUAUGAAUCCAUCCCGCUUGUUUUCCUCGGCCACUCUUAAGAAAUAAUGCACACCAUCAAUGAAUUCUUUGGAGCGGCGAUCGGCAUUGUACAUCCAAUGACGUGUCAUUGUCUGCAUUGCAAUGUAAAGUAUUAUAAGUUUCUAAUUUUUUAUAAAGAAAUUAAAGUAACAAAUAACUAAAAUUCUCUAUUUCUGGUUAUUCUAAACCAACAAAAUUAAAAAGACAUAAAAGUUCUCUAUUUUCUAACUAAUCAUGAAAUGUGGCAUGCAUACUAGUUAUAAUUAACUAAUUAACCAUGUCAUAAAGUGCAAAUUAAAGUAUUAUAAGUUUCUAAUUUUUAAUAGAGAAAUUAAAGUAACAAAAAACCUAAAAUUCUCUAUUUCUAAUUUUUCUAAACAAGCUAAAUUAAAAAAGCACAAAAAUUCUCUAUUUUCCUAAAUAAUCAUGAAAUGUGGUAUGUAUACUAGUUAUAAUUAAAUAACUAAAUCGGUCAAAAAUAACAAAUUAAAGUAUUAUAUGUUUUUAUUUUUAAUAGAGAAAUUAAAGUAACAAAAAACCUAAAAUUCUAUAUUUCUAUUUUUUCUAAACAAGCUAAAUUAAAAAAGCACAAAAAUUCUCUAUAUUCUAAAAUAAUCAUGAAAUGUGGUAUGUAUACUAGUUAUAAUUAACUAACUAAAUCGGUCAAAAAUUGCAAAUUAAAGUAUUAUAUGUUUUUAUUUUUUUCUAAACUAAUUAAAAUAAAAAACAUAUUACCACUAUUUCUCUAAAAAAACGCGUCGCUUUUGAAAUGGCGAUGAAGCUAAUAACCUCUUAAAAAAACCAUAAAAUAAAAAAUAAUAUACAUAACACUAGGAAAUGACAUACGCCGCUUCUAAAUGUUGAGAAGGUAAAGCUAGUGACCUCUUAACAAGUCGAUGACGGUGUAGAAACGAUAAAAUGAAUCAAUAGCCGGAGAUGAGAGCAAGCUAGAACAAGCAACUCCAAAUGAAGAACACAGCAAAAGAGUGAAGAUCGAUGGGCUCGGCCACGGGAAGAAGAGUUCAAAUAUGGGGAGGGAUAUUUAAUCCCGGUUCUUUUUAAAAACUGGGACUAAAUUCCAACACUAGUCUCGGCCGGUGGGACGGACCGGGACAAAAGCUUUUAAUCCCGGUUGGUGGUACCAACCGGGACUAAAGGCUAGGCUUUUGUCCCGGUUGGUGAGACCAACCGGGACUAAAAGUCCCCUCUGCCGAUGUCUGACAUAAUAGCCGUUGGGCAUGACUAAUUAUUUUUUUGUCCCGGACUCUGUUUUGGCCGAGAUUAUUGUUCAUUUUGGGCAAGUGACCAAAGGCCUGUUCUGUAGUAGUGUAGUAGUGUAGUAGUAGUGUAGUGAGAAGCUAGAACCCGUAUGAUGUAGCCAUCUUUAUUUUACGUUCCCGGCCCUUUUUUGCAUGCAUCAUAUCAGACCAUGCAUAACGCCAAUAACGGUGUGACAACUGAAACUUACAUGUUGGAGACAAAUAAAGAUAAGUUGAGGAUAAGAUUUGGGAUAAGAUGACCAUAUAACUAUUAUUUAUUAUUAUAUAUACACACACCAAACUACUACAGUAUUUGGCAUUGGGCAGCAGCAAUAAAAACAAAUCACUUCCGUUCAGCAGUGGUAUAAAACUUACAUGAUGUUCAUUGCAAAAAUAAUGAUUUAAUUUCUAGAAGCUAGAAGCUGUAUGAUAUAGCCAUCUUUAUUUUACGUUCCCGGCCCUUUUUUUUUUGCAUGCAUCAUAUCAGACCAUGCAUAAUGCCAAUAACGGUGUGACAACUGAAACUUACACGCUGAAGACAUAAAAAAUAAGGUGGUGUUUAAUUUCCUUUUAUUCUAGAAAGUUUUAAAUUUUGGUCCAUCAUUUUUACAUAAUGGAACUAAACACCAUAUAAUUUUUUUGGCAAAAUGGUUGCCUUUCUCCCUUUUGAAUUUUUGCCUCAAGAGACCAAAAAAGCCUCAAGAGGCCAUAAUGAAGAUAAUAAAUUCUAACAUAAUCCUGAAAAUUUUAACAUUUUAUAUUUUAUUAUUUUAAAGUAGUUGAUAUUUUGCAUUUUGCAUUCUAUGUGUCGGGUACCAUAACCUAGAGUACCCAAAGUAGAGCUUAAAACCUCAUUCUCCCUUUUUGAACAAAAUAAUAAUAAGUUAGAAAGGCUAAAACGGUCACUCACUUCACCGGAGACCCAACCAGGCCUCAGACAAGACCAGGCCACCCCCCGACUCGCCCGACCCGACCCCAAAACCUCAGGAAGGUUGGGGAAAGCUUCCGCCUCGCUUGUGUCUUUUUCUCAUUGGAGCGCUCGAGAUCUCUCCGUGAUGUCACCUACUGCAAGGUCAUGGUACGACAGAUGGGAUGCCAGUCACAUCCUCACGCCCGCACCACACUGUGCAGAGCAGAGCACGACGGACAUUGUGCUAUCCAACCCCGUUGUUGUGCUAACUGCUCCUGCCACUGUGCGUGCGGCCGAACCCAGAGAUGAUGUCGCAAGUCAUUCCACGCUCCUGUAGCCACGCACUUGUCAGAAUUCCCCAGCGUGAACCACAGAGAAGAGGCUUCAAAAGUCAACAUAGGACAGUGAACAGGGGUCGGAAUGGCUGCUGCAGGUACGGACAACCCUUUCGCAAUAUCGGUAUGGCUUGUCACGAAGGCUGCAGGAGCAAGCGCGCCCAUACGAUGACCACGACCGGCUACAUCACGAGGAAUGGAGGGCUACACUGUCACUGUACAAUGCCAUGCUUCAUCCUCGACUCGGACCAAGACCAUAAUACUAGAGCCCGUACACGUAUAACCCCUGCCUCCCCUUGCAAACUAUAAAAGGAGGCAGGGUCCCAUUCAAGAUACAGACACUGAUACACUAAGACCAUGACUCAACAACAAGGUCACGACGCACGCAACAAGCACACAAGUGCCUGCAUACACACCUUCUGCAUACAAGCCUGAGACAUGGGACUCACUCCCUCUCUCGCGUCCCGCUUAUAACCGAGUACCUCGGUACAACAUAAUACAAGACUCUCUCCUCGCACUAGAUGUAGGGCAUCCUUGGCCUGAACCAGUAUAAGUCUCCUGUGUUCUUCCUGCAUCACCAUUCGGAUUAGGACACACAGAUACAAAUUCACUAGUUAAUGUUGGGAUCGCAAGUCCAAACACUGACACUAUGGGGAGCUAAACGGGCCCUAAGUUGAGGAUAUGAUUUGGGAUAAGAUGACCAUAUAACUAUUUGAGGAAUGCUAAAUGGUGUCAUUGUUUUUAGAGGGAAAAUACAUGAAUUUUUUGUGUUGCCGACAUGUGGGUCCCACGCACCCUCUCCUCCCUCUCCACCUUCUUCUUCGCCCGCGCUUGCUUGUCUCCCUCUGGUCCCCGUGGUGCCCGCGCCUAUGGCCGUGCUGCGCUCCGCAGCGACUUCCUCCCUCCCUCCCUUGAUGCCAGCAGUGGCGGAUCUGACCCCGCUUCUCUCCCGGUUCUAUGAUUGUGAUGGUAUGGGGAAAAAAUCGUAAGUUGUCCUUCCACAGAAAAAAAAUGUCUCUUGUGACCUGUGAUUGUGAUAAAAGGAGGCUGGAGGUAGAAGAAGAGGUAGAUGUUGUUAGAUCUUCAUCCUAUGGCUAAAAAACAUUCAUGUGUUAGAACGCUAAAAACACAUGGUUGUUGACUACACAUGCUACUAUUUUGCAUUGUGAAGCAGCAAUAAAAACCCAAUCACUUUCGUUCAGCAGUGGUAUAAACUAACAGGAGGUUCAUUGCGUUCCGUCGUCUCCCAUAUCCAAGCCCACCACUUGAUGGAAGUUCCAAUCAUGUGAUGACCGGUGAGAGCGAACUGGGGGGUCAGCGCCGCCUUCUUGUCUGAUAAGCACUCCUUAACCGAAAGCAAUAGCAGUAUUAUAUUAUUUGUGUUAGUUACGUACUACCUGCUAGUUUUUUGACCAGUGACGACGUAUUUAGAUUAGAUGAGGAUAAGGCAUGGGUUCAUCAUUCAUUCAUGGGCGUUAUGCAGAUAUCAGAAUAAUCGGCAUGGAAUUUCUUAUGCUAAAGAAUCAAUGGUCGUCGGAAGCUGACAUGAUAAUUCAACCAGCAGACGACGAAGAGGUUCUUGAAAUAAAAAGAAGAUAAUUUAACCAGUAAAUUCGCUUUGGACUCAUUAGGACAUUUGUCUCUGUUAGGACAAAUUUCAACGCCGACGGAUAAGUGCUGCAUGAUGCUAAAUAAAACCAGCAUAAAGAAACUGUUCCGGGAGGGUGCGUGAAGAUAAGGGCAAUAACCAACCAGUAGUACGUGUUUGCAUUGCUCACAUAUACUGUAUAUCGCAAAGAGUCGGAUAUAGGGGCAACCAACCAGUACUGGGGAUUAAUUAUGGGACGACGAUCCAUGAUGUUCGAACACAAUUCUAGCUCGCUUAUAGUUGUUUCAAUUCAAUCAUAUGCAUGCUAUCCCAUCAAGGCAUCAAUCAACUAGUAUAUCCAUAUACCAAAUGUGCGUACGGACUUGAUUAAACUAAGGCCCUCUUCAAGUGCCUUACUAUUCUUAUCAUAGCAUAUGCCUUGCAGUAGGCCAUGCUAAUCGUCUCGUUUGUCAUUUCGGAUGGCGAUUAUAUUUAUCACGCACAUCAAACUAUUUCUGCUUUAGUUUUUAGGUUCUUGAAAAGGAAACUUCACCGGUUUAGGAGUUCUAGUGCAAUUUUUAAUGAAGCUUGAAGCACUUUUUUACCGAACCGUGGAAAACUAAACCACUUCUCACCAAGAGUUUUUUCUUUUGCACUCUACGAGAGACCACCAUGGCAUAAAACUAAAAAAUAUUGUAGUACUUGUUUAGUUCCAAAAAAUUUUGCAAAAUACGAAUAGUAGUACUUUCGUUUGUAUUUGACAAAUAUUGUUUAAUUAUGGACUAACUAGGCUCAAAAGAUUCGUCUCGUUAAUUCCGACCAAACUGUACAAUUAGUUUUUAUUUUUAUCUAUAUUUAAUACUCCAUGCAUACGUCUAAAGAUUCGAUGUGACGAAGAAUCUGUAAAAUUUUGCAAAAUUUUUGAAAACUAAACAAGGCCUAAAAAAAGUAGCUUGCCCUGUUUCAUCUGACAUAUAGCACGGACCAAGGACCCUUUUGCCUUGGCAAGGUGAAGUGUGGCAUGGGCGUGGGUCACGGCUAGGUGCGGAGGUGCAGCAGCGCUUGUCGUGGUUAGGGGCGGCCGCACAGCUAGCGGCCAUGGCCUGCAAAGCGGAGGAAACUGGUGUGGAAGAUGGGGCUAGAAGCAGAAACAUUCAGGGUAGUGUUUUUUGAUUAAAAAAUUAGUUAAGUGAAUGAAAAGCAAAAUGAUGCAAAUGGACAUAUGAAAAAAGGUUUGGAAAUUUUUACCCGGUAAUUAUAUUGGCGGUCUCCCUGAGCUCUGUAGCAAGGCCAAGUUGGUCCAGAGCUCGCCAUCCAUUGGCAUGAACACCAAUGGCCACUCCAUCUGUGCGCAGAGUCUCCGACGACUUCUCCAGCACAAGGCUACUUAUCCCUUUUCUGCUUGCAAGUCAACAGCGGAUUACUUACGGGAAUUCCUCAAAUUGAACGCUUGGGGACGUCUAACACAAAUAAUAUCAUGAAAAAGGGAGAGCUGCGGAUGUGAAAGCCAUUUUCAGUUUUGUCCCUUGUGUAAUGUUCUUGUGUCCGACUUCUCAUAUGUCAGAUGCACAUGAACAAUUUGAUCUAAUAACCAAAGAUUUUAGACGAAUGCAGUUUCAAAUACUGAGAAGAUUUGUCUAGCACUAACAGCAGAUUCAGGUGAAGAUGUGCUGCAAAAAAAUUGCUGCACGAUUCCUAAAAAAAAUUAAAAUAAUUGCUGCACAAUUAAGUUGUUAGCGUAGCGGGUGCUAUCUCACCGGUGCAGAGCGAGAGCAGUGGCAAGGCCACAGAUGCCGCCACCAACGAUGACGAAGCCAUGGACCUCCUCCUCCAUGCCCUCUUCCUUCUCGGUCCCACUGCCUGUAUCUUUCUUACUGCUGUUGGAGAGAUGGAUCUUGUGCUGCAGACCUUCAGACUGCAGUUGACCUUGAAUAAUCAGUACACUACUGAUGUACUGCCAGCUGGUUGUCAAUCUUUGAAGUCACUAAUAAGGCCAGUUCCCAAAAAAUUUUGCAAAAUUUUUCAGAUUCCUCGUCACAUCGAAUCUUUAGACACAUGCAUGGAGUAUUAAAUAUAGAUGAAAAUAAAAACUAAUUGCACAGUUUGGUCGAAAUUGACGAGACGAAUCUUUUGAGCCUAGUUACUCUAUGAUUGGAUAAUUUUUGUCAAAUACAAACGAAAAUGCUACAGUGUCGAUUUUGCAAAAAAUUUUGGAACUAAACAAGGCCUAAGUACUCUUAUACUCCGUUUCAAUUCUAUGUUUGACCAAAUAUAUACAUACAAAUAUUAAUGUUUGUGAUUUCAUAAGAAUGAAUGAUAUAGUUAGAAAAUAAGAGGGGAUAGCAAAUUCAAAGCUGAGGAGGAAUCGAACUAUAAUUUUCAUUUUAAAUUAUUAUGUAUUUUGAUAUAACGUAUGUCUACAUACAUAGAAAAAUCUAUAUAACAAAAAAGUGAAAGCGACAUUCGGCACUUGAGAAAAAUAAUCCAAUUGCAUGGAAAUAUCUGUGCACCUAAUCCAUCAAUCUAGUGGUGAAAGGACAUGAAAGAAUAAAUAGUAGGAUAGGGUUCUCAAUGCAAAUAUAGAAAAGUGGAAGAAAGGUGGUUAGAAUGGUUUAUAAAUAGGCUGGGAUUCCUAAUACAAAAUUGUCUUCUACAUUUUAGGAGUAAGCUUUAAAAAACUAUUGGAGGAACCCAACAAAUAUGCUCCCAACAUUUUUUAGAUACUUGAAAAACUCAUUGAUUUGCCAAUUAUUAUUUGGGGAACUAUUGGAGAUGCUAACAUUUUUGUGAGUCAUCGCUUGUGAAUUUGUAUUGGUGGCCCACCUAGCGUACCCUCUAGGCUCACCCCUCGUACUAGUAGUAUCCAAAGUUGUUCAAAGGCUUUGUAGAAUUAUCUCAAAGCUAUAAGAGCAUAGGUAAAAUCACUAUCUACAAUUUAUAAAUGGUGUCAAAUAGAAUAUGAAAAACACACCACUUUUUCUAUACUACAUCAAUUUGGUUGACCCGAGCAAUCCUUUCACUUUCUAAGGCCACAUCUAGAUUACCUGGAUGUAAAGCAUGUCGUCAGAAGAUUGAGAAGUGCAUAGAGUAUUCAUCUAGUAUCCAUUGUCCUGAAGAAACUUUAAACAAGCUUUCAUAGCAUUUCUCUUAGCGACCGUCUGAUUCGAUGUGUUGUCCCCACACCACCAAUUUUGAAAUCAAUAUGACAUCGUCGUAGCUGUCUAUUACAUGAUACAUUUGUCACAUCAUUCAUUGACUCAACUGUAACACCCUAAAAUUUGCUUGUUUUUAAACAGUUGAAUUUCAUUUUUUAGUAAAGUUUGUGAGCAUUAAAUAUAAAAAAUAAUAAUAAUAAUAAUAAUUUUUGGGAAGUUAAAAUUUAAUAUAAGUUUAGAAACAUAUUUUGAUGCAUUCAUGCUGCAGCACUUAUUUUUGUGAUGUGUGAAUUUCUUCAAAAGAAAAUUUUGUUCAAAAUUUAAAUUAAAAAUGCUUCCGAAAAUGAGUUGAAAAAUAAAAAGAAAAAUCCUUUCCCCCCCUCCUCUUCUCCUUUCGGCCUUUUCGGCCCAACCCUUCCCCGCGCCUCCCCUUCUCUUCGUGGGCCGAGGCCCAGUCGGCCACCCUCUUCCCUCCCUCUCUCCUUUCCACUGACAGGUGGGGCCACCUUGUCAGCUCCUUCUCCUCCAACUGCCUCCAUCCUCUCCCUUCGCAUGAAUGGAAACCGACGCCGCUCCCCGCUCCCCGCUCCCACAUCCCCACGUUCUCCUCGCGUUCAGCACGAGUGCCCGCGCUCGAGCCGCGACCCCGUCUCUCAUUUUGCCCUCUCCCCGCUCCCUGUCCCGCUCCGGCACUCACCCAGGACUCCCAGAAAACCGUCAUCGGAGCGCCGCGAUCCACCACGUUCAACCGGGCUAACUGAGCCUUCUUGUUCCCCAUUCUUCGCGCUGGUGAGAUCGCUGUCUCUUUCUCUUCCUCCUUGUUUGCUUUCCACGCGUUUAGGAGCGCUCCGCUGUGCUGGCCGUGAGCACCGAGAAGUUUGAAACCCGCCGUCCAUGGCGCGGACAGCGCGGGGUCAUCCCCAGCCGUGCUAGGGCCAUAGAUGGAUUCGCCAACUUCCCCUCUUUCUCCCAGUACAAUCCAUUUGGAAAACGGUGCUCCACAGCUGCUGAAUGGGAGCUUCGCGCCGCGUCAAUGGUGGCGCCGCCGUCACCCCUCCCCCUUCCGCCCGCCAGCGCCGCCCCUCUCUCCCCUUCCCUCUUCUCGGCCAUUGAAUUCUAAUCCGAUGGCCUAGGAGCAUCCCAUACCCCUUCGCGGGUGAAAUUUGCUAAAGAGUCCCUAGGUUUUCUUGAAAACAACCCGCAGUCCAAAACGCAUACGGAAAAGUUCGCUUUGCUAUUUUGGAGACGUAUUUCUCAUCGGUUUAAUUUAAAAUACGUUUUCUGUAUUUACAAAACUGCCAGUGACUUUCUUUUGCUCAUAAAAUAUUUGUUUUAACUCCAAUUUGACCCGUUCAACUUGCGUUAGGUUUGUAUUUGCGAGAUCUAAAUGCUAAUCUAACUGUUUUACCAAUUUGAAACUUUUUAAUUUUGUGACUAUUUAAUUUAUUACUUUUCUAAAGAAAAUCUUAGGAAAUUCAUAUCUUCUCCGUUUUCAAGUUGCGUUAGUUUCAUAAUUUCAUAAGCUUCGCGUUGGUACCAUUGUUGUCUAGGUUCACCACUGUUAGGUUUCAUAGAUAAUUACAAGUCCGUAGAUAGCCUUUGUAGUCCCGUUUAAUGCGAUUUCGCGUCGUAACUCCGUUUUUCGUGAAUUUCCCGUUGACGUUAUCGUAGCAGCGUGUAGAUGAUUUUGGAAAAGUUUUAUUCAAAUUUAUUUACUGCUGGUGUACUGCUCUAAUUGUAAUCUUGUUUGCUUCGUGUAUGUCUGUCUCCGAUUGUUUGUGUGUUGAUGAUCGAUGAUCGAGAUUAGACAGUAGGCAUUACUUCGGUGAACAAGAUCAGAGUUUUGGAAGCAAGUAAGAUCAGCAGGACCAGCAGGAGCAAUUGGAUCAAGGCAAGUAUAGUGUUGGGUACCAUAAAACGGGAUACCCAAAUUAGGGUGAUAAAUAUCGCAAAAAGGAAUAAGGCAAAAUGCCCAAACUUCCCGGGCUCGGGCACAAGCUCUGUCUUGUCCGACCCCUCUAGGCUCGGGCACAGGCUCCGUCUCGCCCGACCCCUUGGCCUCGGACGCAAGUUCCGUCUCGCCUGACCCCCCUGGGCUCGGGCGCAAACACCGCCUCGCCCGAGCCUCUGUCUCGGAUCUAGGCUUCUAACACACGGCGGCCAUACCACCGAUGUGACGCGCACCAUGCCCCCCAUGCUGCAGCAGGGCAUGACGGCAUCUAUUCCAACCACUUCUGUUACUGUGGAGCCUUACCUCUUUCACUGUGAAGUACCGCCUCAUAGUAAAAGGAGUUAUGGGAAGAGUUAACCCCUGUCACUAUGGCUAUCAUUUUCCUACUAUUGCAGGACAAGCUGCAAUGCCCUAGAACCGACCACCAUGACCUCAACAGGGCUCGGCAACCCUCCAUUGGAGUAAACACGCCGUCAACCAUACCCCAAGGAUGAGGUGGACAAGUCCCCACAGGGUCGGCACUGCUACUCCACCAUCUACUGAGUAUAGUUCACAAGCUAACACAUGUAAAAACCCUGUCAUCCCUUGCGGCUAUAAAAGGGAGGCAGGGCACACAUCAAAGAGACCAGAACACAAGACACAAGCACCCACACGCUCAAGCCAUAGGACACCACACCAGAGUAACGAGCACUACUCUGUCUACUUCUCAAAGUUGAGACUUGGGACUUGGCCCUCUCUCGCAACCAGCUUAUACACCCCUACUACAAGCACUCUCGGGUGCAAGGCAAUACAGACACCGACUCUCACACUGGACGUAGGGCAUUCUUAGCCUGAACCAGUAUAACUCCUUGUGUUUCCCUUGCAUCACCAUUAGGGUUCAGGAGGACACGCAGACUUAUUACUCGUUAGUGUCUAGACGCCGAGUCUAGAUGCCGACAUAUAGCAUUUGGAUUUUAAUUCUAUGACCAUGAUCUUGUGCCUAGAUUAAUAUAAAGCAACAAAUGAUAAUAAUGACUUUUUAGCAACUUGAGGAUUUAUUCGUAAGUGAUAAUCGGGAUAAAAGUGCAACCAUGAGGGCUAUGAUGGCUCUGGCUUUAGUCAAGUAUGAGUAAAUUUUCUAGCUUGUUAGAGGUUACCCGCGUGGCGCAAAUAGGGGAUAGCAGACCGUGGAUUCCCUGCGGGGUAGAAUCACACGGACUGACUACCGAAACCAAGCGGCCCUAACUUGUUAGACGAACCUUUGAAAGACUUCAUAGUGAUCCCUGCAGCCUCCCUUGGAAGCGGGUUAAGAGGUUAGCUACCUCGGGCGAAAGGGUAAAUCAUGACUUAUGGGUAAAGAUGUACGACCUCUGCGGAGUGUUUAAUAAACUGGUAUACUAGCCGUGCUCACGGUCACGAGCGGCCUUGGGGAUUCUUACAUCAAGGGUGAUGAAUCUUGUUGUGUUAAGAAACUCAUUGGUUAUUGUUUAAUGCUCUAUAUUAUUUAUGUCACAUUGAUCAUGAGACCGUGGGAUCUAUACUAUCUAGUUGAGAUACUUGCGGAGUUCGUCUUGGACUCACUCUUGCUAUCUCCCCCACACCUUAGGAGAAGUAUUGGGCUUGUGAUCUACCAGUCAGUUGGAUCCUGUAGAGUGAAGUUAACACCCAAAGUAUAGAGUUAUCUUCCGUGGUUUGCUGCCUAAGGUUGUUUCUGAUUUAUUAUGUACGCUAUAUAAUUUAUGUGUUGUCCGUUGAUAUUACCACUUAUUUGUAGCUAUAUGUGAGGUUUGUCUUCUAAAACUCACAUAUGGUGCAUAUCUGAUUUUGUUCUCAAAAUCAGGUGUUUCAUCAACUCUAAGGAAUCAUAAUGAAUCAUUGAGCCAUCUGAUCGGUUCAGUUAUCUAUGAUACAUUUCAAAAUGAUGUUAGAAAGUAUUAUGUAACAAAGUCUAAAAAAUAUAAAUUGAGAGAUGUUCCUUACUAUUGGAAAGAUAUGAGAACAACAAUUAUUUAUCCUGGGUGAAAUUCUAGUGCUACUUGUGGAGGUAGAGGAGGAACCUACAUACCUGAUCUAAUACAAUGAGGUAAUCUUUAUAUUUUAUAACUUAUAGACUAUCAAACUAUCAACAUUUUUUUCCAAAUUAUUAAUAUUAACACAAGUAGCCACAAUAGCAUCUUAACAAAUAGAUGCCAACCUUGAUACACAACACUAAAUCGAUAUAUUAUACAAGCGAAUCCCUUUAGCAUCUCAGUUCUCAUCAUAUUUAGCUCAUACUCCAUCUGUCACAUGUUAUAAGUCAUUCAACUUUCUUGUAAAGUCAAACUAUCUCUAGUUUGACUAAAUUUAUAUAAUAAUAAAUAAUAAUAUUUAUGAUACCAAAUAUUUAUGAAGAGCCAAAACAUAUUUGUAAUUUCUUUUAUAAUUUUAGUCAAACUUGAGAUGUUUUGACUCUUCAAGAAAGUUGGAAUGACUUAUAAUUUGAGACGGAAGAGGUAUAUUAUAAAAAAAUUCAUGUAUGCAAGUCUAAAGCAAGCUCACACCUCUGAAAUAAGCACACACGAAUGUAAGGGACCACAGUGUUGCUCAACGGUGGCAGCGAUGGUGGGACAACCAUGGUGCUGGAUGGUAACAGCAAAGUGGUGCUCGAGGAUGGCGUGAUGCGCAGUGAUGGUGCUUGAGGGCUAAAGAUAGGGACGGUGCUCCAAACAGAUACCCAUGAUUCAUCUCUAGUGUAACCAAAUGAACUAAAUAAAAAAAAUUAAGAAAAAGAACUGUCUAUUUAGUUCAUUAAAUUACAAUAGAAAAGAACUAUGGGUAUCCAUUUGGAGUGUCAUCUCCAUCCUUAUUGAGGGCAACGCCAAGGGUGAGGACAAUACUCGAUUUGCAGUAGCAAUCGUGGUGCUCAAGGGCAGAGCGAGAGAUAGUGGCAGUGCUAGAGGGCAGCAGCGUCACUAGGGAGCUCAGCCUUUGUUGGUUUGGUUGAUUUGUUAUUAGAGAAAAACACUACUAGUAAAUUGGGCUGAUAAUCUCAAGCGUCCGUGCACGAGGUGGCAAUGCCCGCUGGAGCAGGGCGGGUAGAUGAAAUUUUGGUUGUAUAGCACUACGCCAAACACAGCUAAUUACUGUCGCUUUAGAACUGAUUUUCACCGGAUAAUUGGCGAUGAUUAUCAUAGCGUUUCAUUUUCCGUUUCUCACCCGACAGUGAUAUCUAUUUUCAAAAAAAGAAAGAACAAAAAAUGUCUACGCCACCGGCUAUGCCCAUGACAUGCAAUUUGAUUCAUCAUACAGAUGUUGUGGCAAUUCGAUUCAUAUUGAUCGAUUUUACGAACACAAGGUCAAGAAGUAUCCUUGUGAUUCGUUUUGUGAUGAGUGAUUGUCAACGUGAUCCACGAAUAGGUUGAGUUGGUGACUAACAUUACCAUGACGAAAGCUGCGUGUGCGACAUGUCUCUUGGCUUGUGGUGUUCAGUUGUGGAGCUCGAAGGCGGUGGUCGACGGCGACGAGAAGGUCAAGUAGAAACGUGCCGUGCCGAUGGACCUGGAGCGGUGAAGUACGGACGUGAGGCUUGGACUGACGGACCAGGAGGCUGGGUGACCAGCCGCAGUGGCUGACAUCUGGGACAUCGACAAGUGCAAGUGUACAUGGGAGUGACCGUGUUGACCAAAUCAAGACGGCGGACGCGAGUCGAGCGAGGCCUAGGAGGACUUGGCGGGCCGGCCGGUCGAGGACGGCGGUGACACGUGUCGAGUGGCGGGAAAGCGUAUGGAGUACGCUACUCGCGGCGGGUUUCGCGGGUUUGGGCCUCAAAACCCAGGCGGAGGUCCCGAUGCGAACGGAUGGCACGUGGCGGCAUCGGUGAGAUCGCUUCGGAGCGAGGCUACUGGUGAGGAGGCGCGGUGGCCGUCGGAUGAAGAGAAAGAGUUGGACUAGAAUGCCCUGAGGCUAGCUAGUUCGCUCAAAAAUAUCUAGAGGGCAUUUGGGGAAUAUAUAAUAUGUCUCAUAAAUAAGCCAGAGAGUCUCCCAUCUCCUCUAACUCUCUCCACAGAUCUCUCCACCCUCAUUUUUUAUCCUUCCUCCCCACGCUCAUUCUGCUCUCUCUAUGUAGGGUUAGUUUUUUUUCUGAAUUCUAGAGAUUUUAUGAACUGAAAAAUCAGUGAUGUAUUUGCUGUGAUUAGGAGUGGGAAUGGAGGCCCGAAUCCUCCACUUGUCCUCCGGGAUUUCAAUUUAAUGUCUGUGAUUUUCGUCUACUGAGUUCCUCAGUUUUUCCCCAUUUUUGCUCUUUGCUACAAUCUGAUUUUUCCAGAGUUUGGAUUGAUCCCAAGUAAUGAUUUUUUGGGGAUUGAUUCGUUACUAGUUGAAUCUCAUGUGUGCGAAGUUUGGGCGUUUUUCGUUGGGUUUUUGGUCGAGUUUCCUUUGUUUUUCUUCAGGGAGUUUUUCUGUUCGUCGCUCUGUUCUUGGGCUCUCGUGUGCAAGGUUUGUCUCAGCAGUAUUCAAUGGCAGCAGCACCCUCGCCGGCCUGUAUGCCGUGCACGAUCAUCAGAGCACUGCUUGCCUCUCUUUUGUGCUGAUUGGUUACGCUGCCCAUGGCUCGUGGUACUUGCUAGUUCAUGUACGGCACAGCACAUCCCCUGGCCGAUACGUUUCUGCUGGAGUGGACCUCCUAGCGCUGCAGCAGCUGUCCGGCAGUGCAGCCCCUGCCCAGCGCUCUGUCUUGCUGUAGCGUGUUGCCGUGAUCUCUCUUCUCCUUGUUUUGUUUCUCUGUCAGCAGGAGAGCAGUUCCUACGUUGGUUACGUUGGUGUGUACUCAGUGGCGGACCCAGAAACGGACCAAGGGGGCUAAAUAACAUAGAGCAGAAAAUUUCUUUGCUCGUUUAACCCAGUACACUAAUAAAUAUAGCUAAAAUUGAUAAUUCAAUAUUGAUUCAAAGUGCUCAAAGGCAAAGAUAGAUAAUAAGUACAGAAAAAUACCAAAUACAUGGAGUCUUGCAUCUUCAAGAAUUCACACCACUUGAACCAAUACCACUUGAACCAUCACGCCCAAUACUACAUCAAUUGGCUUCUUAAUCUCAUGAUGGAAUUCAUCAAUUGGCUUCCUAAGACCUGGAUCAGCAACUAUAUCAUUCAUAUCAAGCUCAAUGCGGGGUCUCUUUUGAUCAAGUCGUCUCUCUUGGGCAGAAGCAGCGACAUCUUUCUUAGCAUAAUAUUUUUCCAUUCUAUAAAAUAAAACCAAUUGAAUUGGGAUCAUUGACUGAAUUUCUAAAAAUAAUAAUGAAAAAAGAAAACUAAAAAAAGGGGAUCACCGAUCCUGGACUCAUACUGCCGCUGGCCGAUCACCGAUCCUGGACUCUUGCUGCCGCUGGGUCUGGGGCUGGCGUCGUCGUCGUUCGCCGCGCCGGCAGCUGGAGAACGGAGCAGAUGCCGGGAGGCACGACGCCGACAAUCAAAGAAGUCUGGAGCAUACGCGAGGCCGCGAGUCGAUGGGCGUGAAGUCGAACCGCGAGGGUUCUGUCUUGCGGCGGGCGGCGGCAGAGAACGAGGAGUCGCGAACCGAUCGCAAGAGUGCUAGACGAAUCUGAAUUGCCAUGCCAUGCGGCUGGUGGCAUGAUGUGGUGGGCUCACGUUUGGAGAAAAUAAACUUGUAUUUGGGCUGGGCUUUACCUAAAAUGAAAAGCUAUUAAAAAAAUUUCCAGCCCAAGGGGGGGGGCUGCAGCCCCCCCAGCCCCCCCCCCCCCCCCCCCCGCGUCCGCCACUAUGUGUACUCCCUCUGUCCCAAUAAAAACGUCGUUCUAGCGCUUGGGCAAUGUCCCAAUAAAAGUGUCGUUUUAAGCAUAGACCCCACACUAAAUAGGUUGCAGACCUAUUGGUCUAUCGCGCGUGCUCUCGUCCACUCGUUUGUUUGGAGCAGCCUCCAUCCCCGCAUGCUCCUCCCGAGCACGAGCUUCAGAGCCCCGCAUGCGCAUAUGCCUGGAGCAGAUCUGCUCCCAUCCACCGGAACAGGUAGCGCGCCCCUCCUCUUCUUCGCUCGUGCCCCCUGCCAGCACCGUCGCUCCAUCCCCUCUUCCUCCAGCCCUCCACUUCUCCCCUAGCACUGCUCUCUUCUCCUUCAUCGGGGAGGUAGGACGACCGAGAUCUGGUUGUGGAUUCCGCCGCUGGCGGGCUAGCGCGGCCAAGAUGCGGUAGCGGGGCUGGCGCAGGGCGGCUUGGCGUGCAGGCAAGGACGGCCAUAGAGCAAAGCGAGGCCACCGUAGGAGGCACACCGACGAUAGUUCAGAUGUGCUCCCUGCGUCUGGAUCGAUGAGGCCGCGACGGGCGUAGCCCACACGCCGGCGAGGAGGAGUUCCGCUCGGAGCAGAUGGAUUUCAAUGGAAAAGGGAGGAGCGUGGGAGAGAGAAAACAGUGUUAAUAGAUGUAUCUUGAUCUUUUCUCAGUAUCCUUGGUACAUGUGCCUGUUCCUAGAACGUCACUUUUAUCGGGACGGAGGGAGUAUGUGAUUUCCUUACUUACUUUUGAUUGUUCGAUGGCAGAGUUUGUGCAUCAGUGAUCUACUGAAUUUCAUCAAAGUGCUUCCUGUGCUGUGCGGACUGUUUUGUUUCUUCGUUUGAUUCUUUGUUGGAUGUGAAGGUCUGUGGUUUCUAUUGGCCAGCAACUAUUGCUCUCCUGGUGUUUGCUUAGUAGUGCGUGCGCUUCACUGUGCUUGCUAUUCCUCUUAGUCAGUGUUUAACUCUCUACAGUGCUUAUGCUUCAGUAGUAGAAUUUCUUUUGCAGCAAGCAGUUCUUGUCAUUCCCAGGUGCAAGGUUGAACAUGGUUGGUUCUUUCAAUUUUUGAGUUGUCUUUUUCAGUCUAUAGGAAGUAAUCAUUAUGUGCUCAUUUAUUUAAUUCCAAUCAUGUGCACGUAACUGAUUUUAUGCUUCCAAGAGUGUCAAUUUCUUUCGUGCGUAGUUUAAUUGUUUGAGCUUUAAAUUUAGUUUUGUCAGUUGCUUUGGCCUUCUAUCAUUGCAAGGAUUUUAGCUCAGUGCUCUUGUCAUCGGUUGGCUUGAGUAAUUUAAUUUAGGAUCUCUCGCUUGUGUUUGGCGGUGAUUUGGGACAGUGGCCAAAAAUAUUUUGAGACAAAUUUUUCAUCUCUCAUUCACCCCCUCUGGUCGCCGUUUUCGGUCCUUCAAUUGGUAUCGAAGCCGGUUAAGGAUCAUUCCACCUUAAUUGGUCCGUGAUCCACGAAGGCGACAUGGAACGUGGUUCCGGAAAACCACCGUUCUUCGAUGGAACAAAUUAUCCCUAUUGGAAGAUCCACAUGUCUGCACAUCUUCAGGAGAUUGAUUGGCUAGUCUGGGAAAUUUGCGAGGAUGUUACUUUCAUUGUGCUUGAACCCCGUGCUCGAACCACGCAAGAUCAAAAAGAUCGGCACACCGCAAAUAGCAGAGCAAGAUCUGUUCUUUUCUCGAGUCUUUCGCUUUCUAAGUUCGAGCGUGUCUCUAAUUGUGCUACUGCUCGAGAGAUUUGGGUGAGACUUCAGAGCUAUCACGAGGGUACAGCCCAUGUCAAAACCAGACUCUAUGAGACGUACAAGAGAGUACGAGAACUUCACUCAGCUUGAUGGCGAGUCCAUCGAUGCCAUGUUUUCUCGUUUUCAGACGAUCAUCAACAAGAUGCGAGCAAACAAGGCACAGCAAACUUAUGACGAUCAUGAGAGGGCUCUCAAGCUUCUAUAUGCCCUAGAUCGGAAGGUAUGGGAUGUGAAGGUGUCCGCCAUCAUCGAGUCUUCGAACUACGACACCAUCACCGUGGACGAGCUGUUCAGCAAGCUCAAGUCCACCGAGAUCGACUACCAGACUCAAGCCAAGCUCAAGAAUCCCUCUGCACCGACUAUGGCCUUAGUCUGGUAACAGUUCAAGUUCUUCAGCUAACCCCUCACAGAUAUCGUUUGCCUUGUCUUCUUUGGUGUCUAUUUCAGAGGAGCAGUUGGAGACCCUUGGGGAUGACGAGCUAGCGUUGAUCAUCAGCCGGUUCUCGCGGUUCCACAACAACCGCUUGAAUCGUCGCCGGGGCGGUGAUCAAAUAGUGGGCUGCUACAACUGUGGAGAUCUCGACCUUCGUCGCCCACUGCCCCAAGAAGAACAAGCACUCCUCCGACAAGUACGACUCCGGCAAGCGCAAGGACAAGCACAACUACACCUCCAAGAAGCACAAGUCGAAGAAGGGCUUCGACAAGGAGGCGCUCAAGAAGAUGUACCGCAAGAAAGCCAAGGCGCAAGAGCGUGCCUUCCUUGCUUCCCUCAGCGACCUCGACAACGACUCCGGCGAUGACCGCUCCUCUUCUCCCUCGAGUGACGAUGAGUCCGAGAGGAAGAUGGAGGAGAAGCUGACCGGUCUUUGCUUCGUCGCCGACUCCACUCACGGAGGCUUCUACACCAUGGCGAUUGAUGAAGAGGUGAAGGCUAGCAAGGAUGAGGUCUCCUUCGACGACGACACCUCCGAGGUACCUCGUUCUGUCAAUGACCUUGUUGCUGAGCUUGAUAGCAUGAAUGUCACCCUGAUUAGUCAAGAUAAAUUGCUUAAGCGUGCUGCCCGUGAGAGGAAAGAGUUUAAGGACAAGCUAGAGUUGGCGCUUAAGGAGCUUGAGGUUGCUAAGAAGUGUGUUGUGGUUGUGUCAGAUGAAAUAGAGUACGAUGAGUGUGUUGUUCAUAUGUCUAACUUCUCUGAAUUGCAAUCUAAGUAUGCUACUUUGCUUGAUGAGUAUGGUGAGCUGAAGGCUAGGCCUGUCUUGUUGGGUGCGUGCAAGUCCUGCUCGGGCUUGCAAUCUGAGCUAGCAGAGAAGAAUGCCAAGAUUUGUGAUCUUGAGAAGGCCAAUUCAGAUAGCACUAUUGCUAAGUGUGCACGUUGUGAGAGUUUGGUGCUAGAGCUUGAGUCUUGCAGGCACGAUAAGAUGAGAUCCAAGGAAGAAAACACAUACCUUCGGUCCAUCUUGAGCUGGGUGUCUAGCAGUGAGCCACAGCUGGGCAUGAUGAUGAACCACUUCAGGCGGGGAACUUGCACAUCGGGUGUAGGCUUUGCUAUAGGUGGGAAGGGUAAAAAUCUUUAUGGCAAGGUUGGUGAGUUUUGUGGUUUGAGCCCGAGUGAGAAACCAUCCACUACUCCCAAGUUGAUCAAAUUCACUCCACCUAAGCCUUCCAAACUCACAAUCAAAGAUGGAGUGUUUGAAGAACCUCCAAAAGUCCCGCCUCAGAAACAUGUAUGGAUUCCAAAACCUAACCAUCUCAGGAACCCACUUGACACUCUACCAAACAUCUCUGAGGAUCCCCUUCCUAAAGACAAAAAGCCACCAAGAGUGAACCAUACCCACAAGAGAGUGAACCAACAACCACCCAAGAGAGAGGUAAGGUAUCACUGUGAGUAUUGCCAUAGGGAUGGUCACCUUGUUGAGUUUUGCUUUAGGAGGAAGAGAGAUGAGCGGCGAGAGUACGAGUUGAACAACCGGAACAUGUACCGCCCACCCCAUGGCGUACAUGUGCCGCCUGUUCAGAAGCGCAGUGCUAGGCCUAGAGGUGCAAUGCCUCAAGGUGCUAGGCCUCAGCUUGCGAGACCACGUGGUGGUCGUGCCCGGCGUGGUUCAGGUCGUGAUCAAUAUGACUUUGAACCUUGUGGCGGUGGCUUUGCUUCUCAGUCCCACAGCUCUAGCGGACCAUGUUUUCCUUUUCGUGGUGAUCACUUUCCUCAAAUGGGACAUGGCAUGCUUGGUGUUUUUCCUAACACCUUUCCAGGGCAAAUGAGCCAACACUGGUACCCUUCACAGUUUACUAACCCCAGUGUUGCACCAUUUGCUCACCCCAUGUCUUUCUAUUGAUGCAGAUCGGAGGCCUGGAGAACACAUGGCUUGUUGAUUCCGGUUGUUCGCGCCACAUGACCGGAAGUUCAAAAUGGUUCUCCAGCCUUGACCCCGUGCAAUGUAAGGAGUACAUCACAUUCGGGGAUAGUAGCAAAGGUAAGGUUCUUUCUCGUGGGACCAUUCAAGUCAAUGAGAGUUUUGUCUUGAAGGAUGUUGCUUUGGUUUCAAAUUUGCAUUUCAAUUUGCUUUCGGUUUCGCAACUCCUUCAGGAUGGUUUUGAGGUGCAUUUUAAGACUGGCUUGUCUCGAGUUCUUGAUUCUCAGGGAAAUCUUGUCUGUCAGAUUGUCUCUUUUGGCCGUGUCUUUCGAGCUGAUUUUUCUCACUCUUUUGGAUCUUCUCGUUGUCUUAUGGCUGGAUCCUCCUCUGAUCUUUGGAAGUGGCAUAGGAGACUUGGUCAUUUGAGCUUUGACUUACUAGCUAGGUUGAGCUCACUUGACUUAAUCCAAGGAUUGCCCAAGUUGAAAUUUGAGAAGAAUUUGGUUUGUCACCCUUGUCAUCACGGGAAGAUGGUUGCCGCUUCUCACCCUCCUGUGACUCAGGUCAUGACCAAGGGACCCGGUGAGCUACUUCAUAUGGACACAGUUGGUCCGGCUCAGGUUCGGUCAGAGGGAGGGAAGUGGUAUGUUCUAGUGAUCGUGGACGAUUUUUCUCGCUACUCUUGGGUGUUUUUCAUGGAGGGUAAGGAUGAGGCUUUUUCUCAUGUUCGAGAUUUGAUUCUUUGGUUACAGACUGAGUUGCCUAAGAAUGUCAUGAGAGCUAUACGCAGUGACAAUGGCACAGAAUUCAAAAACACUCAGUUUGAUACCUUCUGUGCUUCUUUGGGUCUCGAGCACCAGUUUUCCUCUCCUUAUGUUCCCCAGCAAAAUGGUGUUGUUGAGCUUAAAAAUAGGACCCUUGUUGAGAUGGCCAGGACGAUGCUCGAUGAGCAUAGGACUCCUAGGAGAUAUUGGGCCGAGGCGAUCAACACUGCUUGUCAUGUCUCCAAUCGCAUUUUUCUUUGAGCCUUCUUGAAAAAGACUUCUUAUGAGUUGCGAUUUGGGAGACUACCCAAGGUAAGUCACUUCAGGGUGUUUGGUUGCAAGUGUUUCAUCCUGAAGCAAGGUAAUUUGGACAAAUUUGAGUCUAGAUCCUCCGACGGUAUUUUUUCUUGGUUAUGCUUCUCAUUCACAUGCAUAUCGUGUACUUAACCUUGAAACUAACCGAGUCGUGGAGACCUGUGACUGUGAGGUCACAUUCGAUGAGACUAUGCCUUAUUCUUCUCCUGUCUUUGAAUGUGCAGGUGAUCAGGAGAUUGGUGAGAGCAUCUUUGUUGAGGAUGAUGCAGAAGAUGCCGAUUUGGGUGAUCUCGAGCCGACACCAUUGGCUGCCCCUCUCGCGUCUUCGACGACUACUUCAGCUGACGGCCCCGAUCCUUCUUCUUCCAUUACUUGGGGUCCGUUCGAGCAACCUCCUCAGCCUACACCGGCUGUUCCUGAGGAGGCCCCAGCUACACUUGAGGGGGAGGCGACUGAAAGGUCCUUGUUUGGUUUUGGUAAUUGAGUGACAACUUAGGUGGACUAAUAGUUUUUAUAUGAGAUACACAGGAGAUUAGUCCACAGGUGAUGAUGUGAUGAUGGAGGAGCUCAUUGCAUAUGAGACAUGAGAUGGAGUCAUGUGACCAAGGUGGAGAAGAUCAAGAUGGCUUGGCUCGAUGGACCGGUUGCAAGAGUGAAGGUCAAGUCGGAGGCUUUGAAGCAAGGGACCGCAUGUGACGGUGAAGCUUGAGCAAGACUUGGUGCCGAUGGACCGAGGCAACGGUGAAGAGCAAGUGAGGUCAAGAUCGAUGAACCAAUACGGUCACAUGAUAAUAUGAAGUGGAUCAUAUCAUUUGGUGAUUGGUUGGUGCAUGUGUUGCAUCAACAUUGGAGGAGAUGAAAUGGAAUGCGCAAGGCAAAGGUAUAACCUAGGGCUUUUCCAUUUCACCGGUCAUAGGUGUGUAGAGAAGUUUAUGACCAGAUUUAGGAUAGAUGGCCGUACUAUUAAGAGGGGCAAACUUAUUUGCAUAUCGGUCAUCUAGUGCCACUUGAGCGAUCUAACUUUGCAUACGUGUUAGGAUCAAGUGGCGUGGCAAGUUGAGAGGCUAACUCCUUUGGGAAAAUGUUUGUGAAAAUGCUAACACACUUGCACAUGGUGGUGUACACUUGUUGGUGUUGGCACACUUUGUUCGACGCUUUUGAGAAAAUUAAGUGUAUAUUUUCUAUUGCGCCGGUGGGAAUUUUGGAGAAGUCGCGGGAGUGUUUCUCAGUAGGAAACACUCACCGGACGCUCUGCGCGGAGGCACCGGACGCUGGCCUUUAGCGUCCGGUGUGCUGUCGGGUGCAGCAGAGUGCACCGGACUCCGGUGCUCAGUGUCCGGUGCGCGGGCGGUUUGACGACCCUCUUUGCGCAUGAGUCCGGUGAGCACCGGACACUCAGGGUGCGUCCGGUGGCUCGCGUCCGGUGACCGUGCAAGUUUGUGGGGCUCUCUGCGCACGAGUCCGGUGUGACGCAGUUGAGCGUCCGGUGGUGCUGUGCAGGCGCGCGUGUGCAGUAGCCGUUGGCGGCAAUGGUCGAGUUCAAACGGCUAGUGACACGUGGCUGACGCCUGAGCACUGGACGCUGGGGGUUGAGCGUCCAGUGGCUCCCUGUGAGCGUCCGGUGCCCACAUGUUUUGCCCAGUAAAGGGGCAACGGCUAGUUUAGCCCUUGGGGCUAUAAAUAGAAGUGGUGGCCGGCCUUGGCUGGUGCUGAGCACCCUUGGGACUUAGUGUCCAUGCUUGGGGAGUGCUAGUGAAGCCUCUAACUCACAUAUGCUUGAUAGUGAUCAUCCGAUUGUGUGAGUGAACGAUUCUAGUGCGUUGCAUUGAGAGAUUGCAUCGAGUGGCACUAGGUGUUCGUGUUGCAAGCCGGUGGUGCUUGUUACUCUUGGAGGUUGCCACCUCCUAGAUGGCUUGGUGGCUUGUGACUCCGUCGAAGCACGUAAGGAGUUUGUGCGGUGCUUCGGAGAAGAGAUUGUGAGGGGUACGGUGCUCACCCCGCGGGGAUCGCGAAGAGCAACUCUAGUGGAUUGCUUGUGGCUUGGAGGAUCCCCAUCUUGAGAGUGGAUGUGCGGCACCCACUGAGGCUUUGGCUUUGGAAUGCCAAUUAGCUCGUGAUCCAUCAAGUGGGUGUAUCGCCACAACGAGGACGUAGCUUGGUGGCAACCAAGUGAACCUCGGUAAAAAUCACCGUGUCAACAUUGUCUACUCUUCUCGGUGGUUUGCAUUCACUAUACACGAGCUUGUAUUUAUAUUCUUUAUAUACUUGUGCUUGUGUAGUUGCUUUUGUAAUUAGUUAAGCUUGUGUAGCUUGCUAGUUACCUUCUUGCUUGUGUAGCUAGAAGUAGUUCCCUUGCGUGGCUAAUUCGGUUUGUGUAACCUUGUUAGUCACAUUGCUUAGUUUGUGUAGCUAAGUAAGUUGCGCUCUCUAAGUUGGCAUUAGUUGCCUUGUUAUUGAGCUUGCUAGUGAGCUUAGGCUUUGUGCGCUUUGGCUCACUAGUUUGUGUAGGAGCUCCCCCGGUUUGCAAAGUACUAGUUGCAUAGGUUUGUGUGACCUUGCUUCUAGAAUUGGUUAGGUGAGCUCUUGCUAAGGUAGCACCUUGUUUUCUUGUUUAGGAUCUUUUACAAGGUGCUAGAGAACUUAGAUAGAGGGGUGUAGUCUUGGCUAGACCGAUAGUUUUAAUUCCGCAUUUGUUUCGGUUAGCCGGCGCUAUAAGUUUUAGAAAGGACUAUUCACCCCCCUCUAGUCCGCCAUGUCGACCCUUCAGCGACUUCUUCAAGAGAAGCACCUCGACACUUUCAGCGUCGCCAUCCAGCUCAGACCAUGAUUGGUGAAAUUGACCAGCGAGUCACGCGGUCCAGGUCAUAUCACAUCUCACACUUAGCUCAUUCUGCUUUUGUUGCUUCUUUUGAACCUCGAGAUGUUGGACACACACUAUCUAAUUCUAAUUGGGUUAAUGCUAUGCAUGAGGAGUUAGAAAAUUUUGAGAGAAACAAGGUUUGGGUUUUAGGACCACUUCCACCAGAUUGCCAUCCCAUAGGUACCAAGUGGGUUUUCAAAAACAAAUAGAGUGAAGAUGGGGUGGUAGUGAGGAACAAGGCUAGGUUGGUAGCUCAGGGUUUUUGUCAGAAAGAGGGGAUAGACUAUGAGGAAACCUUUGCUCCUGUUGCCCGUCUAGAAGCCAUUAGAAUCCUUCUAGUUUUUGCAACUUCGAAAGGGUUCAAGCUGUAUCAGAUGGAUGUGAAGAGUGCUUUCUUGAAUGGGUAUAUAGAGGAAGAGGUUUAUGUGAGACAACCCCCUGGCUUUGAAAAUCCUAAAUUUCCUAACCAUGUUUUUAAACUCCACAAAGGCUUGUAUGGUCUAAAACAAGCCCCGAGAGCCUGGUAUGAGCAUUUGAAAGCCUUCUUGCUUGCAAAGGGUUUUAAAAUGGGUUCUGUUGAUAAAACUUUGUUUCUCCUCAAGCAAGGCACUGACACUCUUUUGGUUCAGAUAUACGUGGAUGAUAUCAUUUUUGGUGUCUAUUCUCAUGCACAUGUUGGCGAGUUUGCAGAAACUAUGAGCAGGGAAUUUGAGAUGAUCAUGAUGGGCGAGUUGACGUUCUUUCUUGGUUUGCAAAUCAAGCAAACUAGAGAAGGGACGUUUGUGCACCAAGGCAAGUACACUAAGGACGUACUCAAGAAAUUCGAUAUGGGCGAGGCCAAGCCUCUCUCGACGCCCGUGUCGACCACGAAGGCCCUAGAUGCAGAUGAAGAAGGAGAAGCUGUGGACCAGAAGGAGUACCGUAGCAUGAUCGGGUCACUGCUGUACCUGACAGCGACAAGACCGGACAUCUAGUUCGCGGUCUGCUUGUGUGCGCGCUUUCAGUCUUCGCCACGCACAUCUCAUCGUCAAGCCGUCAAGCGGAUCUUGAGGUACCUUCGUUUCACACUUGAGUUUGGUCUUUGGUUUUCAGCUUCCUCCUCUCUUUCUCUUUGCGGCUAUUCUGAUGCGGAUUAUGCCGGCUGCCGUGUUGAGCGCAAGUCCACAUCGGGGACUUGCCAAUUUCCUGGGACUUCUCUUGUGUCUUGGUCCUCUCGCAAGCAAUCCUUAGUUGCUCAAUCCACCACAGAAGCCGAGUAUGUUGCUGCUGCUGCUUGCUGCUCCCAGUUGCUUUGGAUGAUAGCCACUCUAAGAGACUUUGGGUUAGAGUUUAGGCGAGUGCCUUUGCUUUGUGAUAGCACCAGUGCCAUAAGCGUUGCUAAAAACCCAGUUCUCCACUCAAAAACCAAGCAUAUAGAUGUCUCCUUUCACUUCCUACGUGACCACUAUGAGAAAGGAGAUAUUGACCUACACCAUGUUGAUACCCAAAAUCAGCUUGCAGGCAUCUUUACCAAACCCCUUGACCAAGCCCAGUUUGCUCGCUUGCGAGGGGAGCUUGGAGUUUGUUUCCCUUUUUAGUUGAGGGGAACUUUGGUUUUUGUACUCUAGUUUCAUUUUCUUUUAGUUUAGCUUUUAUUUUAUUUUUGUAUCAUAUUGUAUUGCAUUUCAUCUCAUCAUGUAUAUUAGAGCAUUUUGAGCUUCAUGAUUAUAGUUGUUAGAUUGAGACUAUGCUCUUUGUGAUAUGUCUUGUAUGUACAUGAUGGUGCUUGUCGCUUAGGCUCUUUUUGAUCACUUGAUGCAUGUUAUGAGCUAAGCAUGUUUUAUAACUUGUGAACUUUACAUAAACUUAUUGAAACCUGAAAAUUGUUCACCAUUGUGAUUGGCAACUAGCAUGUGUAGGAUGUGUUGAGAUCACUUGAGCUGUCAUUUAUAUGCUAGGUUGCUAUGUCUCAUGCUUUGAGUUAUACACUUGCUUGGACAACUUGCAAAUUCUUGUGCUCAAAAAUGAAAAUCAAGCUAAGUGAAAAGAAAAGAUUGAGAUGGGUCUGUACUGUCCUACGUCAAGGUAUCGAGACUGCUUCCAAUUGCACUUAUGGAUGAACUUGAGCCUUGUAGUGGAUGCCGAGAUCAUUGUCUUAAGCUUACGAUUGUCUCUGACAUAGGCUUGGCAUGGUCGAUAAGUUGGUUUGACGGAACACAUAACCUCUCACACUCACACAUGUUUUUGACUAAACCUUGUGAUAUGCUGCAAACUCCGAUAAAAUGAAAAUUUGAUGAAAACACAAGUCUAAAGUUAGUCUUUGACAUGAUGUAUGAACGUUGCUUGGGGUAGUUCACCUUGUAUACACUUGUUAGCACUAGGUUGAUUUCCUGCUUAUACCUGCUAUGUGCUACUUUUAGUGGUGAACUCCUUCUUAAAAUUGCUUAAAAUUGAUCAAAAAUGCUUAAAUGCCAUAUUUCGUUUCACUUGAUCAGUUUGAGCAUUUGCUAACACUUGUACUUCUUGCUAUACACACAUAACAGCACCACCUAGAGCAUCUUUUCAAUAUGAUUGCUAUACUCCUGAAGCUUUUGCAUUUGUGCAUUCCUUGCAUUCAUAGCAUGAUUUGAGGGGGAGUUGCACUCCUUUAGGAAAAUCUUGAUAAGUGCAUGUGUUAACAAGGGGAAGAAAGUUACACACAAAAAGAGAAACAUGCAUUCAUUUGAGAGAGAUUGCAUUUGCUCAGGGGGAGUUGCAUUUAAGUCGUUUUUGCUAGAUGUGUUGAGCCUUUGCCUCUUUUGGAGGGUCUAGCUAUUUUCUGGCUUUUCGAGCUUUGCUAGUGGUGUUGAGCCCGUUUGCCUCUUCUUGAGGGCUAGGUGUGUUUUACUUGGAUGUGUCGAGCCUUUGCCGAUGUCUUUGGGGACCAAGUUUUUGCCAAGUGUUGCUCACUUCAAAUGACCCUGUUUUGGCAUUCUCUAGCUUUUGGUCAUUUGGGUGAGUUCUUCCUUCCUCUUUCUCUGUUCUUUCUUUUGCUCAAGCUGUUGGUGUGAGAGUGUUGACAAUGCACUCAUCAAGGGGGAGAUUGCGAACACAAGGUCGAGAAUUUGUGAUGAGUGAUUGUCAACGUGAUCUACGAAUAGGUUGAGUUGGUGACUAACAUUAUCAUGGCGAAAGCUAUGUGUGCGACAUGUCUCUUGGCUUGUGGUGUUCAGUUGUGGAGCUCGAAGGCGGUGGUCAACGGCGAGGAGAAGGUCAAGUAGAAACGUGCCAUGUCGAUGGACCUAGAGCGAUGAAGGACGGACGUGAGGCUUGGACUGACGGACCAGGAGGCUGGGUGACCAGCCGCAGUGGCUGACAUCUGGGACAUCGACAAGUGCAAGUGUAUAUGGGAGUGACCGUGUUGACCAAGUCAAGACGGCGGACGCGAGUCGAGCCUCGAGCGAGGCUUAGGUGGACUUGGCGGGCCGACCGGUCGAAGACGGCGGUGACACGUGUCGAGUGGCGGGAAAGCGUAUGGAGUACGCUACUCGCGGCGGGUUUUGCGGGUUUGGGCCUCAAAACCCGGGCGGAGGUCUCGAUGCGGACGGACGGCACGUGGUGGCAUCGGUGAGAUCGCUUUGGAGCGAGGCUACCGGUGAGGAGGCGCGGUGACCGUCGGAUGAAGAGAAAGAGUUGGACUAGAAUGCCCUGAGGCUAGCUAGUUCGCUCAAAAAUAUCUAGAAGAUAUUUGGAGAAUAUGUAAUAUGCCUGAUAAAUAAGCCGGGAGUCUCCCAUCUCCUCUAACUCUCUCCACACAUCUCUCCACCCCCUUAACCCUGUCAUUUUUUAUCCUUCCUCCCCACGCUCAUCCUGCUCUCUCUAUGUAUGGUUAGUUUUUUUUUCUGAUUUCUAGAGAUUUUAUGAACUGAAAAAUCGGUGAUGUAUUUGCUGUGAUUUGAAGUGGGAAUGGAGACCUGGGGAUUUCAAUUUAAUCUCUGUGAUUUUCGUCCACUGAGUUUCUCAGUUUUUCCCCAUUUUUGCCCUUUGCUACGAUCUGAUUUUCUCAGAGUUUGGAUUGAUCCCAAGUAAUGAUUUUUUGGGGAUUGAUUCGUUACUAGUUGAAUCUCAUCUGUGCAAAGUUUGGGCGUUUUUCGUUGGGUUUUUGGUCGAGUUUCCUUUGUUUUUCUUCAGGGAGUUUUUCUGUUCGUCGCUCUGUUCUUGGGCUCUCGUGUGCAAGGUUUGUCUCAGCAGUAUUCAAUGGCAGCAGCACCCUCGCCGGCCUGUAUGCCGUGCACGCUCAUCAGAGCACUGCUUGCCUCUCUUUUGUGCUGAUUGGUUACGCUGCCCAUGGCUCGUGGUACUCCCUCCGUCCACGAAAGAGUUAAUUUCUAGAGUUGUACUAAGUCAAACUUUUUAAACUUUGACCAAAUUUCUAGAAAAAAGUGCUAAGAUUUAUAGUAUCAAAUUAGUAUUAUUAGAUUCAUCAUAGAAUAUAUUUUCAUAUAAUGUGCAUUUUAUAUUAUAGAUGUUGUUACUCUUUUCUAUAAAGUUAGUUAAACUUUAAAAAGUUUGACUGGCACGGAUCCUAGGAAUUGAUUCUUUCGUGGACGGAGGGAGUACUUGCUAGUUCAUGUACGGCACAGCACAUCCCCUGGCCGAUACGUUUCUGCUGGAGUGGACCUCCUAGCGCUGCAGCAGCUGUCCGGCAGUGCAGCCCCUGCCCAGCGCUCUGUCUUGCUGUAGCGUGUUGCCGUGAUCUCUCUUCUCCCUGUUUUGUUUCUCUGUCAGUAGGAGAGCAGUUCCUACGUUGGUGUGUAUGUAAUUUCCUUGCUUACUUUUGAUUGUUCGAUGGCAGAGUUUGUGCAUCAGUGAUCUACUGAAUUUCAUCAAAGUGCUUCCUGUGCUGUGCGGACUGUUUUGUUUCUUCGUUUGAUUCUUUGUUGGAUGUGAAGGUCUGUGGUUCCUAUUGGCCAGCAACUAUUGCUCUCCUGGUGUUUGCUUAGCAGUGCGUGCGCUUCACUGUGCUUGCUAUUCCUCUUAGGCCUUGUUUAGUUCCCAAAAAAUAUUGCAAAAUUUUUCAGAUUCCCCGUCACAUCGAAUCUUUAAACGCAUGCAUGGAGUAUUAAAUAUAGACGAAAAUAAAAACUAAUUGCACAGUUUGAUCGGAAUUGACGAGACAAAUCUUUUAAGCCUAGUUAGUCCAUGAUUGGACAAUAUUUAUCAAAUACAAACGAAAAUGCUACAUUACCCAUUUUGCAAAAUUUUUUGCAACUAAACAAGGCCUUAGUCAGUGUUUAACUCUCUACAGUGCUUAUGCUUAGUAGUAGAAUUUCUUUUGCAGCAAGCAGUUCUUGUCAUUCCCAGGUGCAAGGUUGAACAUGGUUGGUUUUUUCAAUUUUUGAGUUGUCUUUUUCAAUCUACAGGAAGUAAUCAUUAUGUGCUCAUUUAUUUAAUUCCAAUCAUGUGCACGUAACUGAUUUUGUGCUUCCAAGGGUGUCAAUUUGUUUCGUGCGCAGUUUAAUUGUUUGAGCUUCAAAUUUAGUUUUGUCAGUUGCUUUGGCCUUCUAUCAUUGCAAGGAUUUUAGCUCAGUGCUCUUGUCAUCGGUUGGCUUGAGUAAUUUAAUUUAGGAUCUCUCGCUUAUGUUUGGCGGUGAUUUGGGACAGUGGCCAAAAAUAUUUUGAGACAAAUUUUUUGGCUCCCAUUCACCCUCUCUAGUCGCCGUUUUCGGUCCUUCAGAGUUAUCAUAGAUCCAUUAAUCACACAGAGAGAGAGAGGGGAAUAUUAAACAUAUUGAUUCAUCACAUCAAAAAGAGUAAGAGAUUCAGAACAUAUUCAUCAAAUCACUAAGAGAGAAACACAUCAGAUAUGAGACCGAACGCAUCAUCGAUGAACCAAACAUCAUGCAAGAGAGCUCCGCCUGCGCCUUGAGCAUCGGCAUAGGUGUCCCAAAUCUGACCAAAUAUUUCUAUCGAGGAUGGAUCCAUCCCUCAUCAUCCCUGAACCAAACACGAGGCAAACUGAGUUCUUCGCAUCCCAUGCCAGGUGAUCCUCGCAACCGAACACACGGUUAUAAAGACUGGCGUGGUCUAAAAGGACGUCGAUGAGGCCCUUGGUGUGGAGAGGAGGGUGACACGGUGGCCCUGCCGAGUUAUGCGCUUCGUGAUCUCCGUGAAGGUGAGGAUGUGGCUGAACGCCAGCCAUGGCAGCAUCAAGACGUACAUUAUUAUGCCGCUUUUGACGGCUUUGGCAACGGAAUCCAGAGAUCUUGUCAAGAAGAUUGAUGGAUGUCCUUGUUGGCUUCUUUGGCAUCCUACCACAUCAUAACAUAUGCAUUUGCCCGUUCGCUUGUCUCAAAAAUCACGGCUGAAAGUACUGUUCGCUGAUUUGUUACGAAAAAACACUGCUGAAUGGCCGACAAAUUCGACACAUAAGCUCAAGGAAACUGUCUACUAUUCAACUGAUCAAAAAAUCAAUGCAAGUUAGAGGAACUUUGAACUCAACACUGACAGUCUGACCGUGGAGUCCUAGAACGUAACAGGCUCGUUCACCCACAUGAGAAUUCAACCAGUUAGGUACAAAGACCAUAAACCAAUAAACCAUAAUAGUCCUUCGGCCAUGACCAAUAGAUUAGAACCGAAAAAGCAAAAUAAAAAGGGCAACAUAGCAUAUAAUGAUGUCUGUUAAUUAAUUUAUGCAAUUGAUACAUACAAUAGCAUGACAUGAGGACAUGUAUAUCGGUGUUGUCUCUUAUAUAGUGUCACUAAUCCUCAACAUAAAUUUAGAAAAUAACAUUACCCAAAUGGGUUGUCGGUCAGGAGUCUAUUUGCCACUAAACAAGUUGUUUUAGGUAAUUUCACCAUUUAUCCUAAGAUUUUUUUUAUGCUUAAGAAAAAGGAUUGCCAAUGGCCUAAGUCUUUGAAAGUACAUGAAGCAAUACUACAGAUUUCCUGAACCCAAAAAUACUGCUUUUGUUGUACGACUAGCUCAAUUCUGCCUUUUUCUGGAAGACGUUGAGAACAGGUAAAAUGCAAAAUAAAACUAGAAUCAUCAAGUCAUGCAAGAUCAGAUAAGGCAGACAGAUAAAUAGAAUUACAACAGUGAGCUCAUCAAUCUCUUGAUAUGCGAGCAAGCAAACCAGUGGGUGUUUGAACUGUUUUUAUGUGCCCAGAUCCAAUCAAAUCGCGAAGGAGGAACCGCGUAUCAAGAGAUGAUAAUCUUAACUUUGUAUUCUCCAGUGAAGAGAGCAGCAUCUCCUUGUACUUUCUACGGUUCAACAGCGAAAGAAUUUCUUUCCUGCCCUGCUCAACACAACUAAGUCAGAUGGUAAAAGAUGUCCACGUUGGUAACUUUGUAUAACAUGUACUGAAAAUAUUUAUCAAGGUGCACAAACCUGGGAUAGGCCUUUCAAUAUGGGGCCAAUUCUUGGAAUAGAAAACCAGUAAAUAUUUGGAUCAAUAAGUUGGCGAGUCUGGAAGGAAAAAGGAAUCCAGUAUAAACAACAAUAUACUCUCACAACAAAUCAGAAAACAGUACUUUCAGUCAUGGCUUAUCAGCCAAGCGAGGCUAGUAAGAAUUGGUAAAGAGAAGAUAAAUCAUUUUAUUUCCCUAAUAGGUGUAGAAAUGGAUAAGCAUGAAAACAGAUGAUACAAGUACAUCCACAUUUAUUCUUUCAGUAUAUGAAAUUGGAAUUUGUACAUAACUGUUGAAAUCAUGGCCACGCUACCUGUGAUAAUGAUCUUAAAACAAUAAAGAAGAAAUUACUUACUAAGAGACCAGCAUUCAUCAACAGUGUGAUAUGUUUGUCUGUUACAUCACCACCCCGUGAUAACAGUGAGCACUGCAAUGAAAUAUAUUAGAUAUAUUCGACUAUUUCAUUAACAGAAGAUAUCAAUGAGGUGUUAGUGUUACUCAUAGCAACAGUGAAAUACUAUAUCUUGGUUCAUCUCCUAGUUUUAUUUUAUUUAAGAAACAUUUGACCAGAAAACGGUCAUCUAAAGAGUAGCAAUGCAAAAUUCUGACAGAAACCUUUCUAUAUUUUCAAUAGCAAAUGGUAAUUACCUCUAACAAGAAAAGGUCAAGAUAGAAUCAUGCACAGAAGUAACUAAUACCUAAUUCUUGAUACUUACCAGAUCUAAUUGAUUUAUGCUAACAUCCAGUUUUGAAGGGACCACAUAUCUCUCAAACCACUCAAAUACUUCAUUACCGUCUUGGUCUUUACCCCCUGACCGUUUAAUAGCAAAAGAGACCUGCAUAAGUUUAAUGCAAGAAAGAAACAUAUAAAAAAUAGUUUAAUAUGAAAAAUGUAAGGUAAAGAUGAUUAAUAACAUAUUCACUGUUUUGGUACCAUUUGUCAAAUUUAAACACUUGUCUUUAUCAUAAUCCCAUGAAAAGAAAAGCCUUUACAGAAUUUAUGACUAAAAACAUGCACAAUUUAAGCCUGUGAAGGAUUCAAGUACACUUGAUUUGAAAUAAUCGAUCAAAUACAAAAUGUAUGUGCACAAAUAUACACAUAAGGCCAUCUCUUAUAUAUAUCCAUGCCAAUGUAAGCAUUUAAUUUAUCAUCAUAUAUACAAAUAUGUCCAGAAAAAGAUAGGGUUUUCAUAUGUACAGAAAUCUAUAAGAAUGCUUUACAGGAUAGCCAUUGGACAAGACACAAAACCUCUUCUUUUCAUCUUAUAGGUUGUAAAAAGACACAAUAUAAUGAUGGCAGCUCUCCUGCAUUUUCAAGAAAAAAAAAGACAUAAUAGUAACAACCAGAACUACAUUCACAUGGUGACAACAGCAGGUCCACACUUAUAAAGAACCAAACUUGUCUGGUGCAUACAGCUAUUAUUGCAGUUAUGAACAGGUACAACUCAAAGGUUUGCUCUAAAGACCUAUGUUUCGCGAAAGGGCCUCUGAGUUGGUUAGAUGGCUUCAAUAGCACUCCUCGGGUCCUAGGUCCAACUCAUGGGAACGAAUUUCAAGCAGACUGCUGAGGUUAAAAAAUUCCCUUAUUUGUCCCACGCCAAAGCACAUAUCUAAGGACUGGCUCAGUCUCCCAUGGGAAACGGUGCCUCUGUGUAUGGGUGAGGCAGGGGUUCGAGGGUUUUCUCAACCUACGUGAGAAAAGGUUACCUUUUAUCUUAAGCAGAAUGGGCAGGGGGCCGUCAUUACCCCCGCCCCCCCCCCUCCUUUUCGGGACUGCAGGUCGAGUUUUUAAAACCUAUGUUUCCAACAUUUCCUGGCAAACUGCAAAGGGAAAUGUCUCCUCUUCCCAUUCUAGCACCGAAGGUUCGCCAUGAGAUUGUUCAGAUAUAUAUGAUAGUAGAUUCAUAGUACAAUUACUGUCACCUAGUAAACCUAUAAUGCUAAACCAGGAGACCAACAUACCUGUUUCAAAUAAUCAUCCAUGAACAUGAUUGCAUGAUCAUCCUGCCCAGAACUAAGUUUGAAUAUUCGUAACACUCUGUCAUUCUUGAAUGACUGAAAAACAAGAAGCAUUCCAUUUUUCAAUGCCAUGGUGAUAACCAAGAAAACAAAGUAUCUUCACAAGUUUAGUUUCUCUUUUGUCAUUAUAUUGAAUCUAUGAAUGUGAUGAGCAAUAAAAACUAACAUGUUAGUAUGGUAAUCUACAAACCAACACAAUAACAAAGACAAAAAAACACAUCUUAUAUAAACAGCAAUAACGUAAGUUUAAAACAAAACCUCCAAGUCUCUGUCAACUUGUGUUCUAUCCUUCACGCUGCUAUACAAUUGUGACUGCAAAAUGAAUGGCUGCGCCACAACCUGCACGUGAUGCCAAAAUUUGAUAUAGCUUACCCAAUGCCAGAAACAAAACACAAUGUAAUAAUGAAACAAGUAGCACAUGAUUAAUAAAGUUCACAACAGAUUUUAUGAUGACAUUUCCACAGUUUCAUAGUGCACCCUCCUGUUAUUUGUAUGUGACCAAUUUUGGAAUAUUUAUCUCACAAAUAAAGAGUUCUUAUUGCAUUUUGUCCAUGCAUCAAUGAUUCUAAAGUUGUGAGUUAAGGUUAAGGAGCUGAGGAGUUUCAUAUAAUAUAACACGGUAAGAACAGGCUAAACACUACAAAGAAUACAGUUAAAGUCUCAGACACAUAGGUAAGGUGCAUCAGGAGAAUUUCGCUUCAAACUGCAAAAGGUAAGGUGCAGUGUCCUAUUCAAGAUACACACUUUUAGCAGGAAUAGACGGAGUGAUAUGCCAAGUAAUUUGCUUCUGAAUCAAUGUACCUAAAGAGAUCAAGAUAGAAAAACGGUGAAGUUUUUGUUUCAAAAAAAUGGUGAAAUUUUUGUUUCAGAAUAGAGAAUUUAGGACCACAUAAUGGAUUAGGUUGUUUAUUGUAAAACAUGAUAUGGCUAAACUGCCGGCUCCACAAUGGAGUAUGCCCUCUGCUGGCUGCAGUGCUGCACAGUGUGACUACAGUUUACAUCCUCUCGCCGUCAACCCGCUCCGCCGUCAUCCCUGAUUCCACAGCAGCCUCAUGCUCCUGCUCCGCUUCCGUGUGGUGCUGUUUAUGUGGCUCCCACGGUGAACCAGCAUGCCAUGACCACACACAGGAAGCAUGGAUUUCACCUUCCUGCUCUCUACUAUGCAAGGACUCUGUCGCCAAAAUCCCAAAGAUGUAUCGCGGCGCUCUCACUGAUCCCAAUUGGAGGUCUGCCAUGCAGGGAGAACAUGAUGCUCUCCUGGUUAAUCACACCUGGGACCUUGUUCUGCAUCCCCCUUAGGCUAAUAUUGUCACUGGCAAGUCGGUCUUUCCUACAAGUUCACUGCUGAUGGUAUGCUCGAGCACUACAAGGCAUUCACCACACACACACCAACAGCAUUCCAUGUACUGAACAAAGUUAAUAGGGAUUGCAGAAAAUAUAAAGCAAUAAACUGAAACAUGUUUCUGUUGAUAAAAGAUCCUAGAAGACUGAAAGUUGUAUUUCCAAGGAACAUAAAAUACCUUAUCCAGCUUUGGAAACUGUGUGCGCAUCAAUUGAAGAGCUAUCAUGGUAUCAUUGAAUGUAAGAUUAUCCUCUGCAUCGGGAAAACUGUUAAAUAUAAGAGCUUCAGUUUCCUAUGACUGAAGGCAUGAACAGAGGAAACCAAACUGGAGAAAGAGGUAGCGCACCAAGGCUUGAACAAGUUUGAUCUCUGUCUAGUGAAUGUUCAUUAUCAUCAGGAGAGCGUUGUCGCUUUUUAGAAGGCAAUGAAUAUGAUGAAGAUGGCUCUGUCAUCUUGAUCUGUUGACUCAGUUUAUUUCAGAGAGAUGGCAUCAAAUGAACAAGAUGAAAUGUCGGCGUACAAUGACUGGAGGCAGAUCCUCUGUUCUACAUCAGUUUCAGGAGAUGCUUCCUUCAAACAAAAAUAAUUGACACAACAGCAUGGCAUACCUAAUAUUAAUACAAUUGCUGACUCAAGAGCAUCAAUUUUAAACAAGAGUACUUUGAAACAAAAUACUGCUAGAACUGACAUAGAAUUUCAAGCUUGAAUGGGAAAAUCGAAAUGAUUAUAUUGUACAGGAUUACUCAAAAUUCCUGUUUGGUAGAGCUCCACUCCAUUGUUCUUAACUCCAGAUCCUUUAUUCUCUAAUGGAGUGAUUCUAAUUGAUUCUGUUGGGGAAGCAGGUCAGAAUUCAGUGUGUGAUUUUGCUGUUUAGCUGAGGAGUGAUUCUCGUCAAGCUGCUCCAAGGAGCGCUGCCAAACAUGGCCAAUGUAUUGCUGAUAUUCAUUACUUGCCAAGUUGCCAUUAUUCAUCAAGAGGAAAAACUGGUAUACUUAACAUUUUCAUGACAGUCACUAUUCACUUAUUAGCUGGUGAAAACUAACCAGAAAUGCUAACCGCACUAACCACUUCUCGUCCAGCGGGAGGCCAAUCACACUAACAUUUUGAUUUGUUUGAGAACAGUAUCCUAACUGAGUAAACAACCAGAUCAAAAGACCCAGUUUUGCACAGCCGCUCCUACUGCAGCUGCCUAGCAGGGGCCGACAGCGAGUCCAAAUGGCGCUGCAGGUUGACCCUGAGCCUGCGGAGCACCUUGACGAAUUCAGGCAGCUCAUCCUCCCCGAGCUCGUCUGAGUCCGCCUCCCACCAGAACUUUCUCCCGGCCUUUGCCGCGGCCUGCCUCACCGACUUCCCGAUGGCGUCCAUCCGCGCCUUCUCCGUCGCCGAACGCGCCCUGGUGUCCUCCGUUCGCCGCACAAUGGCCUCUGCCUCCGCGCGGUCGGCGACAGCGCUCGCAUCGUCUGUGUCCUGAAGCACCGCAAGGAUCUUGGCGUCCAGCUCCUCGCCGGGGACCGGGGCGUGGCGGCGAAGGACGUCGUCGACAGAGGGAGUGCCCAGAGCGAACGCCUUUUUGCCCGGGGAGAACACGACGAGGGCGACUGGCGAGCCGCAGAGCAGGAAGAGCUCGGAGGCCUUCUUUUGCAGGCCGGACUUGCGCUUGGAGAAGGUGACCUCGAGCCGGCCGGCAUCCUCGAUGCGGCGGAUCUCGAUGCGCUGCCGCCCCUUGCUCGGUCUCCCCAUCGUCGUCGUCGUCCGUCUGCUGUCCUACUUCACGCGCUGCUUUCCUCUGCUUCUCGGGCUCGCCUAGCAGUGAUUUUUUUUUUCUCAAUUCUAAUCUACUCUAAUCUAAACUCCCAAUAAGAAGAUGCGUUGAUGCAAGGAAGCACAGAGGCAGGAGGGGUUAUAUAAGUAGAAGAAUCACUGCUAAAAAUGGCAACGGAUCCUAUUAGUAAUUCUGAUUUCCUUCUUUGCUUGCGUCUUGGGUGGUACGGUGCGGGUAAGGCGACGUAGCGCGGAUACAAUCAUACGUAUUAAAGGAAAGCAGGAAAUCAAUCGAGGUCCUUAAUUGAUGGAGGAAAAUCAAUCAGCACCGCCCUCCUCCACGCGGCGACUGGAGAACAGAGGAAGGGGAUUCGAUUGCUCGCUCAAUUACAAUUAAACAAGCACUUGGGUAGGGCUUCAUUCAUGCUUACCGAGAAAGGAGUCUCUGUGUCCGGAUGACCUCUGGUUCUUGCUCCAGUCUAGGCGGCGGCGAGAACGAAGAGCAGGCUCCGCAGCCGCGAGGGUAGGAGGAAGAGUUCGGGCGACGAGGGAUGUGUGGUUGGUCUGCGUGUGUUUGGUGCGAGCGACUCUGGACUUGGACGGGAAACAAGGUGGGCCGUGGGCCGGAUGUGUCAAUCAAGCAUUUAAAAAAACAUGAAAUUGCACUAAAUUUAUAAGAAACUAAAUAUUUGAAAUACACUCUAGCAAAAGUAUACAACAAAAGUUAAUUUAACGAUGCAUAGAACAUGGACAUGUCUUCGUGAAAAACUAAUAGUGCAUUUGCGUUCUAAAAUCAUAUUAUGCUUUAUUAGGUGAUGCAUCAAUAGUUUAUUCCCUGAUUUUUUUGUGUGAAAUCCACAUAUUUUCCAUGUAUAUACUAAUUAUUAACUUGUGAGAAAUGAGGUGGUGACAAAUCAACCUAUUUUAUUUCUCAGACCAAACACACGGUGAGGCACUGCCUGGCUUCAACUCUUGCACCUCAUGCACUGUAGCAACUUGAAUAAAUUAAAAAGAUGAUUUGAAUUCAACCCCUGCUUAGCCAGCUUGAAUAAGGCACUCCCCAGCUUUCCUGAUGUCUUCUACUUACAUUGAUGAAUUGUUUUUUCUUCCUUCUUAAAUUGAGGCUUUGUUUAGUUUUCAAAAAUUUUCAAGAUUUCUUGUCACAUCAAAUUUUUGUACGCAUGCAUGGAGCAUUAAAUGUAAACGAAAACAAAAACUAAUUGCGCAGUUUGGCUGUAAUUUGCGAGACGAAUCUUUUAAGCCUAGUUGCUCUGUAAUUGAACAAUAAUUGUCACAUAUAAACGAAAGUGCUACAGUAAUUAAAGCUAAAAUUUUCCGUGAACUGAACAAGGCCUGAAUUGAACUAGGAAUCUCACCCUUCCCGUUGUGGUUGGAGCUAGAAAAAAUUACACGACAAAAUAGGUUUUUGGAUGAAUAGAAUUGUUUAAAAUUGCAUUGGCACAUGUGCAGCAGGCUUGAGAGUAUAAAGUGCAACUCACCGAACCAAAAAAAAAAACAGUAUUGAUCCACUUAUUAUUUGUACCCUGAUCUAAGAUGAGGAUUUAAAACAAAACAAAGAGAACUCAGCUCAACUAGUGAACACAAAAUACAUUACAUUUUACACUUCACCAAUGCAAAUCCUCAGCAAUGGUGAUCGCAUCACAAUCGCAGUCAAGCAAUCCCCCGCCACCACGAAAGCAACGAAAUAAACAAGAGACCUCCUCCGCUCAAAUGGAGCUCCAUCCUUUUGCAGCAGGAAGGGGAGGGAUGCUCUGCUCAUUCCUGAAGAAGUCAUCAGGAU
rnacentral:lncRNA from 1 species